rnacentral:lncRNA from 1 species
GAUAAAAUUUUCAUUUUUCAAUUAAGGUAAAAUUAUUGUUUCCAAUCAAAACCCAAGUCAAAACCAAAUUUCAAAUACAAUUAUUCAAAAAUCAGAGUAUCAUAAAAUCUCCAAAACAUGUCACUGAAGGAUGUGUACGAUCACGCCUUUGUUUCCCCCCGAUCAUCUGAAGUACCUGAAACAUAACAAUUAAACCGUAAGCUAAAGCUUAUUGAAUCCCCCAAAAUAACACCACACAAACAUAUAAUAACAUGCAUAUUGGGUCCACGACCAUCGGGCUGGAUUACCUAUGAGCCUACAACAUGAGUCUGGCUUGCAUUUCUGCCCAACAACUCAUGUCUGGAUUGCUCCUGAACCCACAACAUAAGUAUGGCUUGCCUUUCUGGCCUACAACUUAUGUCUGGCCCGCUAUCAGGUUUGUUAGCUUCCAUACAAAGCAGUAUUUCCUCAACCUAACCGCAAUAUGUCGACAUAUACAACAGAUAAGCACAUAACCAACAAACAAAUAGUCAUACAGAUCUAACAGAUCACUAUAGCAUAGCAACAUCCUAUAUACCUAGAUAUAUAACCGAAUGGUUGGCAUUGGUGUCUUUGACCCUCAAGUACUAUGAGGAAACUCACCUCAUAAUAUGAAAAGAUAGAAGAAAAGAAUGUUGCUCCAAAUGCCAACUCUACAGGUCACCUAUACAAAAAACAGUGACCUAAACUCAAACUACAGCUUAAAAUACCUAAAAUUCCCCUAAGUCAAACUUUGUCAAAAAUCUUGAUCAAACUCAAGUUAAAAAGUCAAAUAUUACACCUAGUCUGAGUACACCCUGUAUACUCCCCUCUACGCCCAGUGUAGAGGGUGUAUUUCCAGAAACGGGUUCGAACCCUGGUACGUGCAGCGUACUUCUAGGUACGCCCAAUAUACUAGAGGUAAAUAUACUUUUCACCAUUAAGGUCUUAUUUCAUUCAACCAAGGCACCAAAUUUCAUAUCUAGAUAACCAGGGACUUUUCAAUGGAUAAAGUCUCUGACUUUAUUCAUUUGCAUGCAUAUAAGACGGUUAAAACUCAAACCUUGGACCAAAAGUCAUCUAAAGUUCCAAAACUCUUGCAUGGAUUAAUGACGAUGCCAAAGCUCUCAUUUUUAUGAAUCUAUGAGCUCAAAACUACAGAUAACUACAUUUCAAGGACCCGGAGUAGCUCAUACUCCACUGGACCAAACUAUGGGACCAAAAAUCAACACAAACUCUAGCUUAACAAGAUCUAAUCAAAUAACUCAUCAAGAUCUGAACUUUAUACUUCCAAAGGAUGCCUGAGGGUGAGAUACUUCUCGAUCUAAGUGGUAUUGAGCUCCUAAGAUGAAUAUACUAUCUUCUCCUUCCUCCAAGAACACGCAAUUACACUUUUUUAAGCUUAAAUGCUCACACAAUGGAUUAGGGUUUGCUAGGGAUGAAUUAGAAGAUGGAGGGUGAUGAGGGAAAAAGUAUUCAGAAUUUAAUGUUGUUUAAAUAGGGGUCAAACUCUAAAAACUAGGGUUUUACCCGUAGCCACGUACGCCCUGUGUACUCUGAGUACGCCCAACACACUUAACACAACUACGUGCUUUCACUUAAUGAGCCAUGGGACCAAUUUUGCAAAUAAAUUUCAUACUAAGGGUAUAAAUGAAAAAUACCUAGAUCAUGGUGUUAAAAUUCUCCCCCACUUGAAUCAAACUUCAUCCUCGAAUUCCGAUGUUGCAAAUAACUUAGGGUAUUGCUCUCGCAUCUCUGCCUCAGAUUCCCAAGUCCAUUCAGAACCCUUCCUAUGUUGCCACUCGACCUUAACCAAUGAUACCAACUUGUUACACAAGUUCUUCGUCUUUCUAUUUAGAGUCGUCACUAGUCUCUCAACAUAAUUCAGGCGAUCAUCAACCUGAAUAUAAUCUAAUUGAGCAACUAUAGAAUCAUCAGCCAUAGACUUCCAAAGCUUGGAAACAUAGAAGGUGUUGUGAAUCUGACUAAGUUUCUCAGGAAAAUCCAACUGAUAGGCUACCCUACCUACCUUGGAUAAUACUCGAAACGGUCCAAUAUAACGAAGCCCUAAAUUUCCCCUCUUCCUGAAGCGUAUUACACCCUUAUAAGGUGAUACUUUCAAUAGAACCAUAUCACCGACCUAAAACUCCAACUCAAAUCAACAUUUGUCAACAUAACUCUUAUGCAGACUCUGAGCUGUCUGUAGCCUCUGCCUGAUCUGCUGGAUAAGCUCUAUCGUCUGAAGAACUACCUCGAUCCUUUCCAUAACCAUGUGACCGACCUCGCCCCAAAAAAAUGGGGUACGACACAUCGUCCUAUGAAGAAGCUCAAAUGGUGGCGCACCGAUAUUGGAGUGAUAACUAUUGUUGUAAGAAAACUUAGCAAGAGGAAGGUAGGAAUCCCAACUCCCACCGAAAUCUAUAACAUAGGCUCUCAACAUAUCCUCAAGCAUCUGAAUGGUCCUCUCACUCUAGACAUCAGUAUGCAAAUGAUAAUCGAUGCUAAAGUGCAGCCUUGUACUCAAUUCCUCAUGGAACCUCUGCCAAAAUCGAGAAGUGAAUUGAACAUCUCGAUCAAAUAAAGUAGAAAAUGGAACACCAUGUCGAGCGGCAAUAUCGUGUACAUAAACAUAGGCCAAUUUCUUGGCUAAAGAGCACUCCCGAAUAGCUACAAAGUGAGCACUCUUGGUCAGAAUGUGUUUCAAAACAUUAGCGACCACAUUCGCUUUUCCCGGGUGAUAAAGAAUCUCGCUGUCAUAAUCCUUGACCACAUUAAGCCAUCUACGUUGUCUCAUAUUCAGAUUUGGCUAAUCCAUAAGCUACCUCAAACUCUUGUGAUCCGUUUAUAUGGUACAUCCUCCAAUAAAGAUAAUGUUGCCAAAUCUUGAGGGAAAACACUAUUGCCCCCAGAUCCAAAUUAAGAUAAGAAUAUUUACAUUCAUUUGAUUCAUUGUUUGUAUACAUCAAAAACAACAAAAAAAUAAAGAUGAGACUCCGAAUGCUCCGUCUUGUCAAAAGUUGCAGGGAAUACCUGUCUAUUGAUUUCCUGAGAAUACAAGCAGUUUUGAAAAGAGUAUCAACAUAAAGCUGGUGAGUUCAUAAGCAUGUCUUUGUAAUGAAAACUUGUCAUUGAAUUUGUAUAAAAUGUUUGUUUACGUUCCAUGAAAAUCCAAAUUCUAACAUAUGGUUGUUACUGUGUUCUGUUUGAAAACCCUGGUUACCACCAGUAUGUUCUGUUUGAUUUGUACAAAAACUCUUGUAUGGAAUCCUUGGCUAUCACUAGUAAUGUAAACAAUGUAUAGAAUGUUAUUCUGAUUGUUUGUAAAGUACUGAUGUAUAUCUUGAGAAAAUCCUAUAUUUUCCCUUGAGUGUGUGUUGUUGCUUUAAUGGUUCUGAAACUAUAAGGCAUAAGUAUUUUCCAUACUUAUGUUAUUAAAUCAAUUGUGUUGGAAUAGUGUCUAAGGCUACAACUAUAUUAGGCAAGUAUUUGACCCGGUUGUGCAUGGUCCUUUUGGGUUGCCUUCACCAUAGCAAUUUGAUAGGAUGAUUUAUUAGGAGAGAGUAAAUAUUAUUAUAAAGAAUAAUAAUAUUGUUGGUAUAAGUCAUAGAAUUAAUUAGAAUUAAUUUGGUGACUUAAAGAGAUUAAUUUAAUAAGAGGGUAUAAACUGUCAAUUGUUUGAUAGUUAAACUUUAGACUGUAAAUCCAUAUAGAUAUGGAUUGGACGAAUUCUAGAAGCUAAAGGAUAGCUCAAAUCGUCCAUUGCUUAUCUAAGGAAUGGAUUUGGAUAGCCUUAAGAGAAGAUUAUCCAAUAGGGUUUAGGUUGUAACCCUUAAGGAGUCUACAAGUAUAAAUAGACCCCAUGGCUGAGGGAAUUCGGAACUUAACCUAAAGUAGAGAAGCUCUGGCCGAAUUCCUCCCCUCUCCUCUCUCCCAAAUCGUCCUCCUUGCUAUUUGGUGUUUGUAAGCCUUUAGAGGAGUGACAAUUAUGACUCUAGAAGCUCCAAGACAACAAGAUCAACAAGGAAUUCAAAGGUAUGGUUCUAGAUCUGUUUCAAUGUUGUUAUUUAACCUAAUUAGCUAUUAGAAGUCUUGGAUUCAAAGCAUGUUUAAUUAGAAAGCCUAGAUCCGAGCAUUAGGGUUUUGCAUGCGCACAUAGGAAAGUUCUUAUGGCUAAAACCCAUCAGUGGUAUCAGAGCCUUGCUUGGUUUUCAUUAAAUUGUUGCUUAAUUGUAUGAAACAAACCUGCAAAAUUCGAAUUUUUGGUUUCUGAGUCAUGGACUCGGCGAGUUCCAAAGUGGACUCGGCGAGUUGGCCUGACUCGGCGAGUCCCUUUGUGCACUCGGUGAGUCCAGGCGUCAGGAAUGGCCAGAUUCGGGAUUUCUUCAUGAUUAUCUUAUGGAAACUUACCUUAAUCAUAUUAGAUCAACCCUAAUCCGAUUUUUUGAUAUAUAUGACUAUAAUCUUGAUCUAAUUAAAGAUAUUUAUCAACUAAUAAAAUAUUUAAUUUCCUUAUAUGAUAAUUAAUUAAUUAUUUUGAUUAUUUUGGUAAUUAUCUUAAAAAGAAAUCUUGAAUAAAUCAAAUAUAGAUAAUUAGGAUAUUAAUUGUUAAUUGAAAUUAUUUGUUAUUUGAUCCUCCAUGUUUUAAAUGUUUAAAACUUGUCCUCAAGUUUUGAAAUUUAUAUUUUGUGAUUAAAAGUUUUAAUUUAGACAACUUAAAUUUCAAACCCUAGAUUUUAAAAGGUUUAAAAUACAACCCUAUACUAAUAUGAUAUUACUAGAAUAAUAUAUAUAUGUAUAACUAAAUGCUAGUCUUACCGUUAGUAGGCCUCAUUCACGAAGCCGAUCUAUAAGGUGGGUAUAAGGUUGCGGCCUAUAAAAUGGCGCUUAAUGGGUGUACACUCACACCCACCGCUUGCUUGAUUGGUGGAGGGUCGUUAGCCGAACGGGUAGGAUAGGGCAACCUCAUCCUCUCAUUAAAAGUAUAAUAAGAAAUACAAAGUAACUACACAUAUUUUAAAAUUUCCCAAUCCUAGUUACUUUAGGAAAAGUGAAUUGAUGCAAUCCCAUGAAAUUACACUUUGCACCUUGCUAAGAUGUUAGUGGAGCGUGUGUGGUUUACCGGCACACUAAUUGGUUCUAAGCGAAGGUGGCAAAGGGUGAUUCAUUGUUUAUCAUAGUUCGAUGGAGCGUGUGUGGUUUACCGGCACAUCGAAUAGGUGAUCGUUACAAUGAAGGCACCAUGUGAAUUUGCAUGGUAAUUCACACCCGCUUUGUGAUCCUCGGCAUCCCAGUCACAAACAAGAGGGGCAUAUCGAGAUUUAAACAUGCCAUUGAAUAGUUUCAAUGAAUCUCAUCCGAACCUAGGAAUUCUCAAAAACACUUAGGACUAAUAGUUUAAGUUUUGUGAUGGAGAAUUAGUGAAUCGUCAUUCACUUACCUUCAAUUUAUUUGCAUGUUAGAUUACGGCAUCCCUUUUCUAGUAUGUAAAUGUUAUUGUUGGAUCCUAGCCCUAAUUUUCUUAUUGGGUGAUAAUUAGGGAUUCUUAUUCUAAUCUAUCUUUGUCCUUUUCUAAUUGUAGAUGUCGAACGCAAACAACGCUGCUGCUAGUUCUUUCACGUUGAUGAGCCUUUGCCAAAAGGUCACCUUCGAUGGAACGAACUUUAGCGAAUGGAUAAGAUACAUUCGCACCAUUGCUCGCUAUGAGGAUAAGGAGUAUGUCCUCGAUGAGAAGCUCGAGAAAAUCAACCCCGAAAUCGCUACUCCCGCCGAAAUCACCGCUUUUGAGACUCAUGAGCGAGAUGCAACGAAGGUACAUUGCAUCAUGAUCGCCACCAUGAACUCCGAAUUCCAAAAGUCCUACGAGGACAUGUACCCGUACGAGAUGCAUCAAGACUUAUUGGAGAGGUACCACCAAAACGCGAGACAAGAGAGGUACGAGAUUUUCACUAACAUGAUUUCCGCGAAGAUGGGUCAUGGAGAAUCUCUUACCGUGCACUUGCAAAAGAUGCAAAGGUAUGUCGACCGCCUUCGCAAGUUAAAUGUUGACUUCGGUGAGGAUUUGGCGAUCGACAUGGUGCUUCACUCUUUGCCUCCGAUGUACAAUCAAUUUAGGAUGACCUACCACAUGAACAAAGAAGAGGUCACCCUAAGCAAGCUCCAAGGUCUCUUGAGGGUUGCUGAGAGCAACUUCAAAGACAAGUCUGUUGCACCUACUCCCAAUCCGCCCGCUGCUCCUGUCUUGGCUAUUGGACAAGGGAAGGGAAAGAAGAGGAAAGCUUCAUCGAAGAACUAUCGCAAGGUGAAAGCCCGAGAUGGUGCCUCUUCUAGUGGGACCAAAGUUGAUCCCGCUAAGCCCUGCUCUAACCCGAAGGAGGCAGAGUGCCACCACUGCCACAAGAUAGGACAUUGGAAGAGAAGCUGCCCAGAUUACCUGCAAGCAAUCAAAGAAGGAAAGAUCAAGCCAUCUUUCGCAGGUAUAUAUACAAUCAAAUCUAACGAUUCUAAUCAUGCUAUUUCUUGGGUUCUUGAUACCGGUUGUGGUUAUCACAUUUGUUCUAAUGUGCAGGGACUAAGAAGAAGUAGGGAUGUGGAGCAAGGAAGGAUCAAUCUAAUCAUGGGGAACAGAAGAUCGUCGCCUGUGACCAAGAUUGGAGUGUAUUCCUUAGUGCUUAGGAAUAGUUUAGUUUUAGAUUUGAACAAUUGUUGCUAUUCGCCAGAAAUGGCAAGAAACAUCAUUUCAUUUCAUGGUUUAUAUAGACAAGGAUUUAGAUUUUCUUUUAAUAAUGAGAAUGGUUCUAUUUUGGCUUAUCUAAAUGGUGUCUUUUACUUUGAAGCUAUACCAUGUAAUGGAAUAUAUGAAACCGUUAUGAUUGUUGAUAACUUAGGAAAUGAUGUUUUGAAUAUUGAUUCUUCCACUAGUAUGGAUAAAGCAUCCUUGUGGCAUUGUCGUCUUGGACAUGUCAACAAGAAACGCAUAGCCCAACUCCAAAAGGAUGGAGUGUUGGAGUCAUUCGACCUUAGGGAAGAUGACACAUGCGAGUCUUGUUUGCUUGGAAAGAUGACUAAGUCACCCUUCACGAGUACAUGUGAAAGGGGCGAGGGUCUAUUGGACCUAAUACAUACCGAUGUAUGUGGACCGUUUAGAUCAACCACGAAGGAUGGGAACCGCUUCUAUGUGACUUUUACCGAUGACUAUAGUAGAUAUGGGUAUAUCUACUUAAUCAAGCAAAAGUCAGACACCUUUGAAAAGUUCAAAGAGUUCAAGAAUGAAGUGGAGAAUCAAUUGGGCAGGAAAAUCAAGAUGCUUCGAUCCGAUCGAGGAGGAGAGUACCUAAGUCUUGAAUUCCACGAUUAUCUCAAGGAGUGUGGAAUAGUUUCACAAUUGACGCCUCCUAGGACACCGCAGUUGAAUGGUGUGGCAGAAAGGCGUAAUCGAACCUUAUUGGAUAUGGUUCGCUCUAUGAUGAGUCGUGCUUCACUACCAAUCUCUUUUUGGGGGUAUGCCUUAGAGACUGCCGCCCAUAUCCUUAACCGAGUCCCUACUAAGAAGGUUGCCAAAACACCUCACGAGAUGUGGACAGGGAAAGCUCCCUCGUUGGCACAUAUCAAGGUUUGGGGUUGCGAGGCUUUCGUAAGACGAGAUACUCACGACAAGCUUGAACCUCGAAGUGAGCGAUGUAUUUUCAUCGGCUACCCGCAGACAUCCUUUGGAUAUCUCUUCUAUAGACCGAAGGACAAUGUUGUCUUCGUUGCGAGGAGAGGAGUUUUCCGAGAGCGAGAACUCAUAAGCCAAGGAGACAGUGGGAGGCAAAUCGAACUUGAAGAGAUUCAAGAGUCGAUAGAUGAAGGAACCUCUACCGCUGGCACUCAACCCGAGGAGGAAACUCCGGUUGAACCGAUUGACGAAUCCUUACCUCUUAGACGUUCCGAUAGAGUUAGAGUUCAUCCCCAGUUUUAUGGCUUUCAUAUUACUACCGAAGGGGACACGUAUAUUAGUGAUGGUACACUAGUAAAUCUUGAUGAACCUAAUAGCUAUAAGGAAGCCAUGGCAGGCCCGGAGUCUGCAAAAUGGAAAGAGGCAAUGGAUAGCGAGAUCCAAUCCAUGUAUGAUAACCAAGUUUGGAAUUUGGUUGAUUAUGUGCCCGGACGUAAGACCGUUGGGUGCAAAUGGAUCUUCAAGAAGAAGACCGACGUGGAUGGAAACGUACACACAUAUAAAGCGCGAUUGGUUGCGAAGGGCUUUACUCAAACUCCCGGAGUUGACUAUGAUGAGACCUUCUCACCAGUUGCGAAGAUUAAAUCUAUUAGAGUGAUGCUAGCUAUUGCCGCAUUUCAUGAUUAUGAGAUUUGGCAAAUGGAUGUCAAGACCGCUUUCCUUAACGGAAAGUUGGCUGAGGAUGUUUACAUGGCUCAGCCAGAGGGGUUUGUGGAUCCGAAGCAUCCGGAUAGAGUGUGUAAGCUUGAGAAGUCCAUUUAUGGACUUAAGCAAGCGUCUCGCAGAUGGAAUCUUUGCUUCGAUGAGAAAGUCAAAGAGUUUGGAUUUGUACGAAGCGAAGACGAAUCUUGUGUAUAUGUCAAAGCCAGUGGGAGUAUAGUAAGCUUCCUCGUUCUAUAUGUCGAUGACAUAUUACUCAUAGGAAACGACAUCCCGACUCUGCAGGAGGUUAAGUCCUGGCUCGGGAAGUGCUUCGCUAUGAAGGACCUCGGAGAGGCUUCUUACAUUUUGGGAAUAAGGAUAGUAAGAGAAAGAAGUAAGAGACUAAUUGGACUUAGUCAGAAUACUUACUUAGAGAAGGUACUAAAACGUUUUAGUAUGGAAAACUCAAAGAAGGGAGAACUACCGAUACAAAGUAAUGCCAAAUUGAGUAAGACUCAAAGUCCGAGUACCGAAGCUGAGAUAGCAGAAAUGAGCCGAGUACCAUACGCUUCCGCAGUUGGCUCAAUCAUGUACGCUAUGACUUGUACUCGCCCUGAUGUAGCCUUCGCUUUGAGCAUGGUUAGCAGAUAUCAAGGGAAUCCUGGCAAAGCACAUUGGAUUGCGGUGAAGAAUAUCCUUAAGUACCUUCGGAGGACGAAGGAAUGGUUCUUAGUCCUCGGAGGGAGUGAUGACUUGAAGGUGCGAGGGUAUAGUGACGCCAGUUUUCAGACCGACAGGGACAACUACCGUUCGCAGUCGGGCUGGGUCUUUACCCUAAAUGGAGGAGCAGUGACAUGGAAGAGUUCCAAGCAGGAAACCGUAGCUGAUUCAACGUGCGAAUCAGAGUACAUUGCAGCGAGCGAAGCGUCGAAGGAGGCAAUAUGGCUAAAGAACUUCAUCGGUGAUCUUGGAGUUGUACCUGCCAUAAAGGAGCCAAUGGAGAUUUUCUGUGAUAACGAAGGCGCGGUUGCCUUAACCAAGGAACCGAGGGAUCAUGGUAGAUCAAGACAUAUCGACAGAAAGUAUCACUUCAUUAGACAUCGUGUAGAAGAAGGACAACUCGUAGUGAAGAGGAUAUCAUCAGAAGAUAACCCAGCAGAUCCGCUUACGAAGGGACUGAGUAGGGUUAAGCACUUGCAGCAUGCUAGGAGUAUUGGGCUGAAGGAUGAUAUUAGCAUAGAUUAGAUAGUAUUAGAAACGUGUAAUAGAUAAAUGUAAUUAACAUUUGAUGAUUAAAUAAAGGAGUUUUAUUUAUGAGUAAUGUUACUAUCUUAUGUUAAUUGUUUAGCUAUUGUUUCACUUUGCAUGUUUUGACUUCCAGAAUAAUUGAGUUUAUUAGGAAUAAUCGAAUUGUUCAAAUUGUCCACAAUCGUUCAUAUGUUGGAAGUAGAUAUGAAUGAAGAUUGUCAUGAAUUGGUGUGUAGAUUGUCUAAAUGGUGUUAGACAUAGCAAAGGGUUGCUGCAACGUUCAUGAGUGCUUAUGAACUAGUUUUGAGCAUUGGAACAAACCCGCGCUUGCUGGAAUCACCUUAUGGAAUAUGAUAUAAAAAGGUGAUCGCAAGACGAUAAUAUCAUAUAGUCUUAAAACCUAGAUAUAUGGUUUGUUAUUUGUUAAUUGAUUGUACAUUGAUAAUGCGAAAACGCAUCAGUAACUCGGUGUUAUAAAACGCAUUGUUGUGUAUAGUUGGUUAAUGAAUAAGUAAAUGCAUAUAAGUCGAAGUUUAUCUGUAACUUUUAUCUAAGAAGGUAAAAGUGAUAUCUCGGCCGCUUGAUGAUUUGAUUUGACUUAUGUGCCAGGCCCGGUCAGAACUGAAUUGAUGUGUUCGAUUAAGUUCUAUGUCAAAUAAAUCAGAGAUCGAGAAACCUAAAUGCUUGACUAACCAUUCCAUAGGAUUGUCAACAUGAUAUCUAAAAGAGGACUGUACGAUCCCUUAUCUAAAGGACAAGAUUGAUUAGAUCAGAGUUUGACAAUGUCUUUAAGAGCUACGAUUGCAAGCCGAAUUGUACUUGUACAUAUAGUUACUAGACUUAUCCAAGUGGGAGACUGUUGGAAUAGUGUCUAAGGCUACAACUAUAUUAGGCAAGUAUUUGACCCGGUUGUGCAUGGUCCUUUUGGGUUGCCUUCACCAUAGCAAUUUGAUAGGAUGAUUUAUUAAGAGAGAGUAAAUAUUAUUAUAAAGAAUAAUAAUAUUGUUGGUAUAAGUCAUAGAAUUAAUUAGAAUUAAUUUGGUGACUUAAAGAGAUUAAUUUAAUAAGAGGGUAUAAACUGUCAAUUGUUUGAUAGUUAAACUUUAGACUGUAAAUCCAUAUAGAUAUGGAUUGGACGAAUUCUAGAACCUAAAGGAUAGCUCAAAUCGUCCAUUGCUUAUCUAAGGAAUGGAUUUGGAUAGACUUAAGAGAAGAUUAUCCAAUCGGGUUUAGGUUGUAACCCUUAAGGAGUCUACAAGUAUAAAUAGACCCCAUGGCUGAGGGAAUUCGGAACUUAACCUAAACAAGAGAAGCUCUGGCCAAAUUCCUCCCCUCUCCUCUCUCCCAAAUAAUCCUCCUUGCUAUUUGGUGUUUGUAAGCCAUUAGAGGAGUGACAAUUGUGACUCUAGAAGCUCCAAGACAACAAAAUCAACAAGGAAUUCAAAGGUAUGGUUCUAGAUCUGUUUCAAUGUUGUUAUUUAACCUACUUAGCUAUUAGAAGUCUUGGAUUCAAAGCAUGUUUAAUUAGAAAGCCUAUAUCCGAGCAUUAGGGUUUUGCAUGCGCACAUAGGAAUGAUCUUAUGGCUAAAACCCAUCAAAUUGUUCAUGAGAAGUAUAUUAUUUUGUAAAUAUAUCGUUACUAUCUACUGGCGAGUUUUAUGACCAUAAUAAACUAAUACGACGUGAAUUGGACGCCAAUAUCCUUUAUGACUUUGUCACCCAUAGACCUGUCGGUCCUACUGUAGCUAACAACAAGGUGCGGGGUUGUCAGUCCCGUAUAGAUCUAUACACUAAAUCACGUUCUCCCCCGAGGAGACUCUGGUUCAUAAGGGUAGUCCUCCACUUAGUUAUGUUUGUAAGCGCCCAAUGACGUGUCUCCCAACUAGAUUCACGACUUUACAAAUACGUGAAACAUAAUGUUCUUUUGUACUUGAAUUCGAUGUAUGUUUUGUAGAGUAAAAAUAAUUAUACUUAAAUAAUUAUCUAAUAUGGUACUCUUGUAUCCAAAAAGUGGUAAUGUAUGCCAUAAACUAUAUUUUUCAUAGUUUAAAUGAUUGUUAAUGUAGAAUCUUGAUAUAGUAAAACUGUGUAUUGAAAGCUCAAACUAUACCUAUUAUAGUUUGUAUGUUAUGUUCUUGAUCUGUAUAUUGUUUCAGAAAACUAUGCAAUUAUAUAUAUUUGUUUAGCAGAAAUUGUCCCUUAUGCUGCACAUAAUACAAAAGGGAUAAAAUAUCUAUAUAUUUUAUGAAACUCGUUGGACUGCAUCAAUUCAUAAGUUUUGUUGAAAUUCUUUUUGUUUUAGUUCAGAAAAUCAUUUGUGUUUGGCUUGUAUCCACCCCCUGAAAAUGUUAAAAAUCAUAAAAGUGUAGGGGUAUGAACUCACUGUUGUUGUGUGAAAACGUCGAAUGGAAACGAAGAUCCUCGGGUUGCUGUACGUGGCACUUAACGGAAUCCUAAUAUCAAUAAAUACAUAUAUGCAUCUAAAUUAGAGAUUUAGUUAGGUAAAGUGUUAGGAAAACACUUGUUUUGGUUAAGGAAUGUUACCGGGACUAGAUUGAAUCGAGAAAACAAGUUUUUCACUGCUUAAGAGGCGUGUACGGCCGUGAAUGAGGGUGUACAACCGUGAAUGGGGUGUACAGCUGUGAACCUUGUACGACCGUAAACUGCUUCUCGAAGGGUGUAUGGCCUUUAAAGAUUUGAAGGGUGUACGGUCGUACACUCAAGAACAAGGGUGUUUGAUUUUGAAGAAAACGUGUUCCAGAUGCUCCUAAUCGAUUCCAAAUGACGAUUUUCGAUGUUUUUCGAAAGAAAAGAGGUGUUUUUAGUGUGUACGUUCAAAAGUUCUAGAGAGAGAAUGAGAGAGUUUUCGGCCAAGAGUGUUUAAAUGAGGGUGGGGGACCUAUAUUUAUAGGCUGGGGGUAUGGUCGGUGGUGAGGUCCACCUGACACCAACCGUAAACGGGUGUGCGGCCGUACACAGAUGCGCGGCCAUACAAUCACUUAGGCCAAAAACUUAUUUGUUUUUCAAGGACUUUGGGUUUUCGUGUGAUUUGGUACCAAAUCACUUAUAUAAAUUUAAUUAUAUAAAACUAGAUGAUUUCCUAAACCAUGAAGUUUUGACGGACACUUAAUAAAAUUCAAAUUCAACUAACGGAAUUAGGAUAACGGAAAGGGAAAAAGAUUCGGGUUGUCACAUCAUCCCCCGUUAGAGGGAAUUUCAUCCCGAAAUUCAAACAUAGAAUACAAAUCAUGGUCUCGAGAAGAGAUGGGGGUACUUUUGUUUCAUUGAAUCCUCGCGCUCCCAAGUGAAUACAUGUCCUCGCUUGGCAUUCCAGCGAACCUUCACUAUCGGGAUACGGCUUUGUUUCAUUCGUUUGACUUUUCGGUCCAUGAUUUCUACGGGCUCUUCCACGAAGUGUAAACUAUCGUCUUGUUCGAGCUCAUACAACAGACAUUCAAGGCAUCCUCUAGAUCCUUAGCCCUAAUCUAGCAUGAACUUCUUAGAAUCAUGAAUCAUGCACAUAACAUAACAAGUACGGAUAUCUUGGGGAAAACUUACUUGAGCUCGGCCGGUCGCACGCAUCACACACUUUGUCUUUUCUCAAAAUUCCUUAACUUAAAAUUUUAGAACCGUUUUCCUUGAAAAAUCUUUUAGUCCCUUGGUUUGAGUGCAGACACCCCCUAUGGUGUGUCAGAAUCCCUCAAACCAGGGCUCUGAUACCAACUUGUAACAUCCCAAAUUUCGAGACCAAAAAUUUCAUUUUUGAAUUAAUAUUUUAUAAAGCAUUUUACCAGAACAUUGUCAAUAAAACAACACAUUACAAAAUCAUAAUGUUGUGUCUCAGCCCAUAACAUCAAAAGUAAUGAAAAUCAGAGUUCAAUCCCAGAAACCCAAUGUGGAAACCAUGUGUGUGUGCGCGGCUACACCGCCGGCUCCUUCCCCUUCGACGAAGAGGUACCUGAAACCAAACCAAAAACUAUAAGCACAAAGUUCAGCGAGUUCCCCCUUCAUACCGCAUACCAUAUAAUAUCGUCGGUAUCUUUCAACCGGUAACUGCCAUUGAUAUCUUUCAACCGGUAACUAUCAUCGGUAUCUUUCGACCGGUAACCAUCAUCGGUAUCUUUCAACCGGUAACUUCCAUCGGUAUCUUUCAACUAGUAGCUGGGGACUAUUUCACCCCUACCACUAGCAUACAGUAGCAAGAUAUAAACAUACAGUCAGGCAUAUCGGGGUAGUAACCUACCCCUUGGUCCUAACGACCUAUGCCAGGGAAAGACUCCCUAUCACUACCACUGACACAGUUAUCAUAUUACGUAGGCAUAUCUCAUGACCAAAUCACAUAACCAAACCAAAAUAAUUAUCACAAAGAGAUUUGUCUAUUAAAUACCCCUGUUGGUGGGUCGACAUUGUGGCCUUAGACCCAUCCCUACUAGAAGGUAACUCACCUCGAUGUCGUAUAGUGUCUGGGCCGUCUGCUGCGAGAAGAUCGACUCUCCUCGACUCCUCAAUCACUACACGAUAAUUCUCAAGUCAUCAAACAGAACAUGCAACCCUAACCAAGGUCAAUACCUUAACUAGUCAAAGUCAACAUCCAGUUGACCUGACUCGCCGAGUUGGCCCGCCAACUCGCCGAGUCCAUACUCCACUAAUCCGAAUACAACCUCGACACCACUCGUUGAUUCUAGCGAGAACUCGCCAAGUUUUCGUUCAUUCAAACCAUCGAUACCAUCUCCAUCCGACUCACCGAGUUCUUCCUUCAACUCGGCAAGUUCAUAUCCCUCAUAAGAACGUGUCCAGUCUAUGACUCGCCGAGUUGUAGAACAACUCAUCGAGUCCAUCUUCAAAGGUUGAGAGAUUGCCUUGGACUCGUCGAGUCUGUUCAUACACUCGUCGAGUCCCAUGAUUCCCAAGUCCCUUUACAAGUCCAAGAAUUCACGAGACUUCCUUCCCAAUCCACUGGUCCAAUCGCAGAAAGGAUUUAGUGGUCAUUACACACCGACUCGCCGAGUUCCAAGAACAACUCGUCAAGUCCCUUCUUGACCCUUACUAUACAGUCGAUUUAAAUGGGUCUUAACACGUCAAAAUCAUAGAUCUGGCCUUUAUGCCAUAAGUCUCUAAUGGCCAUAUAGUUGGCACCUUUAUGCCUUGAUACCCCUCCAAUGACUCAGAUUUGAAAGUAGAACCCCAUGAAUCACUUCACAAACCCGGAAAUGGCUUAGAAAGCCCUAAAUGCACCCAAAAUCUAAGCCCUAAAGAUGAACAACCAAAUGGAAGUCCAAAACAGGGGGCAUUUACCUUGGUUGAGCUGAAGAUGGAAUAAGAUCUAUGGAUCUACAAGCCCCAACUCGAAUUCCCAAGCUUCUCCCUUCCUUUCAAGCUUCACAACCACCCAAAAGCACCAAAAAUGGCCUUAGAUCACUCAAAUCGGCUAGGGUUUCGAUAAGCGGUGUUCUGGGAGCAUAAGGAACAAAUGAGGUUGCAAUAAGGCGUUUAAAUAGGGUGCAAACCCUCAAAUUUAGGGUUUCACUCAAACAACACCUACUCACCGAGUCAGUCUUCGACUCGUCGAGUAGGUCACUUAAACUUCCCUUGGAACCCGUCUCUACUCGACGAGUUGGGCCACCAACUUGUCGAGUCCUAGAGAAAAAUACAUAAAAUUCCUGAAUUAAAGACAUACCAGUAAUCGGUGUUACAAAUCUCCCCCACUUGUCUUAGACUUCGUCCUCGAAGUCUGCUGUACGAUCCUGAAAAGUUCGGGGUAAUGUUCCUUCAUCUCGUCCUCCGACUUCCAGGUCCAUUCUGAGCCAUUUCGGUGCUGCCACUGCACCUAUACCAACUCCACUCUCUUGUUCCUCAGAUCCCUUGACUUCUUGUCAAGGAUUGCCACUGGUCGCUCAAUGUAGUUCAGGCUGUCAUCAACCUGAAUAUCCUCCAGAGGCACCACCGCCGAAUCGUCUACCAGGCAUUUCGGCAACUGGGAGACAUGAAAUGUGCUAUGAAUCUGACUGAGUUCGGCUGGCAGAUCCAGCCUAUACGUCACUUGGCCCACCUGGGCUACAACCCUAAAGGGUCCAAUAUACCUGGGGCCCAACUUGCCCCGCUUCCUGAAUCGAAUGACGCCCUUCCAUGGUGACACCUUCAGGAGCACCAUAUCCCCGACCUAAAAUUCCAGGUCUGACCGACGCUUGUUGACAUAACUCUUCUGCCGACUUUGAGCAGUCUAAAGUCUGCUCUGAACCUGCGGGAUCCUCUUCGUAGUCUUGAGUAGCACUUCGGUACUCCUCAUGACACUCUGCCCCACUUCUCCCCAGCAUAUCGGGGUCCUGCACUUCCUCCCAUACAACAUCUCGAAAGGAGGAUAGUCGAUACUCGCAUGAUAGCUAUUGUUGUAGGAGAACUCCGCCAAUGGGAGGUAAGUAUCCCAGCUACCUCUGAAGUCUAAAACACACGCCCACAGCAUAUCCUCCAGAGUCUAGAUGGUCCGCUCGCUCUGACCAUCCGUCUGCAGGUGGAAGGUGGUGCUAAAAUUCAAUCAAGUACCCAGCUCGUCAUGAAACUUCUUCCAAAACCGGGAAGUGAACCGCACGUCCCUUUCGGAAAUCACCAAAACUGGCACCCCAUGCCGCACCACUACCUCCCGGAUGUAGAUGUCGGCCAACUUUUCGGCCGAAAUACUCUCCUAAAUCGGGAUAAAAUGUGCGCUCUUGCUCAAUCAAUCAACGAUGACCCAAAUCGAAUCCACCCCUCGCGCUGUCCUGGGAAGCUUCGUAAUAAAGUCCAUAGUAAUAUCCUCCCACUUCCAUAGCGGGGUAUCCAACGACUCGAUCUUGCCGUGAGGUCUCUGGUGCUCAGCCUUGACCUUGCUACAGGUCAGGCACCUCUCCACAAACCAAGUUAUGUCCUUCUUCAUACAGGACCACCAAUAAUCGAGACGAAGAUCCUUAUACAUCUUCAUCGCCCCGGGAUGGAUGGAGAACCUGGAUUUUUGCACCUCUGCCAUCUGUACUUGGCGCACACCCCCAUGAUACGGGACCCACACCCUACGGUGAAGAGUCAUUAACCCCCGGCUAUCAUAGUCGAAGGAGGAAACCUGGCCCACAAUUCGCUCACUCUUCCGGUGUUCCUCCUUUAUGGCCUCCUUCUGGGUCUCCCGAAUCUGCUCCAAUAGCGGAGUCACAACUAUCAUCCUUAGACAAAUGUCCCUGAUCGGCGCUGCCUUGCGGCUAAGCACAUCGGCCAUGACAUUGGCCUUCCCCGGGUGGAAGAGGAUCUCGUAAUCAUAAUCCUUUACCACAUCAAGCCACCGAUGCUGCCUCAUAUUCAGAUUUGGCUGGUCCAUGAGAUACCUUAGGCUCUUGUGGUCCAUGUAAAUGGUACAAUGAACCCCCUAGAGGUAACGACGUCAAAUCUUGAGGGAAAAAACAACAACCCUUAGCUCCAAAUCAUACGUCAGGUAAUUCGCCUCGUGAGACUUCAGGUGCCUCAAAGCAUAAGCUAUAACAUGCCCUCUCUGCAUCAAUACCGCACCCAAACCUGAUAUGGACGCAUCGCAGUAUGCCACAAAGUCCUCCAUGCCCUCUGGCAGGGCUAAGAUUGGUGCCUCGCACAAUCUCUGUUUCAAUGUCUCAAAUGCGGCCUGCUGCUCAGGCCCCCAGCGAAAGACCGCGACUUUCGUCGUCAACCGGGCUAGGGGCACGGAUACCUCGGAGAAGUCCUGAAUAAACCUCUGAUAGUAGCCUGUCAGUCCCAGGAAACUUCGAAUCUCAUAUGGAGACCUCGGAACCUCCCACCUCAUCACGACCUCCACCUUGGCCGGGUCAACCGAAAUCCCGUUCUGGUUGACAAGGUACCCAAGAAACUGCACCUCGCGCAACCAGAACUCACACUUGGAGAACUUAGCAUACAAGUUCUCCCUCCUCAAUGUACCGAUAACCUACCACAAGUGCUCCUCAUGCCGCUCUCGUGUCUUGGAAUAAACCAAGAUGUCAUCGAUAAAAACUAUCACAGACCGAUCCAACAUCGGUCUGCACACGCGGUUCAUGAGAUCCAUCAAUGCGGCAUGAGCAUUGGUGAGCCCGAAAGGCAUCACCAUGAACUCAUAGUGGCCAUAGCGCGUCCGGAACGCAGUCUUCUGCACAUCCUCCUCUCUGACCCUCAUCUGAUGAUAUCCUGAACGCAGAUCAAUCUUAGAGAACGGAGAUGCUCCCUGUAGCUGGUCAAAGAGGUCAUCAAUCCUCGGGAGUGGGUAACGGUUCUUCACCGUUACCUUAUUCAACUCCCGAUAGUAUAUACACAUCUGAUGCGACCUGUCCUUCUUCUUCACAAACAGAAUCAGGGCUCCCCAGGGCGAACUGCUCGGUCUGAUGAAUCAUUUGUCUAACAGUUCCUGCAGCUGCGUAGACAACUCCUGCAUCUCAGGAGCAGCCAACCGAUACGGUGCCUUGGCUAUCGAAGCCGCACUGGGGACUAGGUCGAUCCUGAACUCUACCUGCCUCUCCAGAGGUAUCCCAGGCAACUCCUCAGGGAAUACAUCCGCAAACUCUCGUACCACGAGCAUAUCGCCCACCGUCGCCUUACCCGCUUCUCGAAUAUCCAUAAUAUAGGCGACAAAUCCCACACAACCCUGCUGAAGGUAGCGCCUAGAUCUCGCUGCUGAACAUAGAGCUGGUUCUCGCGGUGGCCUCUCGCCUUGAGUCACCAGCUCUCCCCCACUUGGGGUCUUGAUUUGCACUAACUGCUGUGCGUAGUCAAUCACUGUCUCAUUGGGUCUAAGCCAAUCUAUAACAAUAAUAACCUUGUUCCCCCGCAAUGGUAUGGGAACCAGAUCUACCAAGUAACGCUCCUCGAACAGCCUCAAAACACAAUCUCGGUAGACCUCUGAUGCCCGCACUGACCAAUCGUCCACACUCUCGACCUCCAAAAGGCAAUCCAGCAUGCCCGAAGACUCAGGAAACUUCUUGCUAAGCGCAAGAGAGACAAACGAUAGGGUAGCACCCAAAUCAAGCAAUACCUGAACUGGGAUACCGUUCAAAUGGAACGAUCCUACACCGAGCAUACAUGUAUCAAAAUCACAACGUCAUAACAUAAAAAGUAAAGAUAAGAAAUCAUACCCGUCACCACAUCGGGUGCAGCGCAUGUCUCCUCAGCUGUCAACUGAAAUGCUUGGCUCUGCACCACUGGAGCCUCUACCCUGGGCUUCUGGCCAUCCAUCACCCAUGCCGUCGUUGGGGUCGGUGCCGCCGCUGGCACUACUGUGGUCGCUGCUGUCAAUUUAGGGAAAUUGGCCUUUUUAUGGCCCCUCUGAUUACAAUGAAAGCAAAUCAGGUCUGAGAUCUGAACCGUGGGAGCAAGGGCAGUACGAUCCAUGCCAAAAUGUCCAAUUUGGCCGCACUUAUAGCAGCCGGAUCCCGACCCAGUGCGGCAAACUCCCUCAUGUGACCGACCGUACUUCCCACAGCGGUCCUGCCCCUGCUGUCUUUUCGACCUCGCAUCAAAUCCCUUGGGUUUCUUCGCUGAAACACCUGCAACCUGCGCAGUCUCUGACUUCCUCUUCCUAAUAUGCUCCAAAUCGAGCACCCUUUCCCGCGUCUGGCAAUCAAGGACUCCAGGGUCGGGCAGGCUAAAUAACUGACAUGCUCCCGGAUAUCAUCCCUCAACAUAUCAUGGUAGCGGGUCUUCCGCAUCUCCUCAUCCCCCGAAUACUGGGGUACCAAUAACGCCCUCUCCCGGAACUUAGCGGUGAUCUCCGCCACAGUCUCUGUAGUCUGUCUCAUAUCCAAAAACUCUCUGGCUAGCUGCUGAAGCUCCACAGCUGGCGUAAACUCAGCCCUGAAUCGGGCCAUGAAAUCUGACCAAAUCAUAGCCUUGACGGCUGGAGCCCCCAACGAGUCACCAACCGACUCCCACCAAUCUAUGGCUCUAUCCCUCAGACAUCCCAUAGCAAAGUGGACCUUUGAACCUUCCGGGAAGAAGCUCAUCAACUACACAGACUCAAUGUCUGCGAUCCAUCUCCUGGCAGCAAUGGGGUCCGUCACCCCAUGAAAAUCCUUCGUACCACUCCCUCGGAAGUCCUUGAAGGAUAGUAUGCGCGUACCCGUCUGGCUUGACGCCAGAUCACUCCUGAAUGCUCAGAGGCGAUCCUCCAUUAGCUCAACAAUCCCUUCCUUGAUCGACCCAAAAAUAACCGGGGUCGAGUCAAGGAUACCUCUCGUGAUCUCCGACGUGAUGAACUCGUGUAGCCUAUCAUCAACCUGCCCAGAUCCUACGCUCGAGCCUGAUCCUGAUCCUGACCCUGAACCUAAUCCUCCUGCACCAUGUCGUGUGAUCGACAUACUGAAAAUAAACACAUAAACGUUAGGAUCAUUCAUGCUCUCGAAAGGUCUCACACACUCUCCAAGAUUCCUGGUUCCAUCUCGGCCCUGCUUGACUCGACUACGGAUCCUCUGCUUCCAGUAGUAUGGGCCCAUACUACCUUCCACAUUUAUCCGUACUUUCCUCAAAGGUUGAUUAGACUUCGCCAAGUCCCUCUACUGAUACCCUUUCUACUAAUCUCCUCUUAGGCUUUCCUAGAGUACUCUCCGGCCUAAUCUUUGCCAUCAACUGCACUAGGAGUCCCUACUUCCCUUCCCUAAAUAGCUUGCGAAUACUGUUACAUAUCCGCUCACUAGUUAGUUAAAGUUAGCCAGGACCCCUUAAGCACAAAGUAAGCAACAUUCGUGCAUCGAGUAACCACAUCAGGCAUAACCUAAUCAGGCUAUCCUACUGCUGACUAAAUAGUCCUAGCUUACAGCUAUUACAACAGGAAUUCAAGGCAUCCUCUAGAUCCUUAGCCCUACUCUAGCAUGCAGUUCUCAGAAUCAUGAAUCAUACACAUAACAUAACAAGUAUGGGUAUCUUGUGGAAAACUUACUUGAGCUCGGCCGGUCGCACGCAUCACACACUUUGUCUUUUCUCAAAAUUCCUUAACUUAAAAGUUUAGAACCUUUUUCCUUGAAAAAUCUUUUAGUCCCAGGGUUUGAGUCCAGACACCCCCAGGAUGUGUCCGAAUCCCUCAAACCAGGGCUCUGAUACCAACUUGUGACAUCCCAAAUUUCGAGACCAAAAAUUUCAUUUUUGAAUUAAUAUUUUAUGAAGCAUUUUACCAGAACAUUGUCAAUAAAACAACACAUUACAAAAUCAUAAUGUUGUGUCUCAGCCCAUAACAUCAAAAGUAAUGAAAAUCAGAGUUCAAUCCCAGAAACACAAUGCAGAAACCAUGUGUGUGUGAUGUGCUGCUACACCGCCGACUCCUUCCCCUUCGACGAAGAGGUACUUGAAACCAAACCAAAAACUGUAAGCACAAAGCUGAGUGAGUUCCCCCAUCAUACUGCAUACCAUAUAAUACCGUCGGUAUCUUUUAACCGGUAACUGCCAUCGGUAUCUUUCAGCCUGUAACUAUCAUCGGUAUCUUUCAACCGGUAACCGCUAUCGGUAUCUUGCAACCGGUAACUGCCACCGGUAUCUUUCAACCGGUAGCUGGGGACUAUUUCACCCCUACCACUAGCAUACAGUAGCAAGAUAUAAACAUACAGUCAGGCAUAUCGGGGUACUGACCUACCCCUUGGUCCUAACGACCUAUGCAAGGGAAAGACUAUUCCCUGUCACUACCACUGACACAGUUAUCAUAUUACGCAGGCAUAUCUCAUGACCAAAUCAGAUAACCAAACUAAAAUAAUUAUCACAAAGACAAUUAUCUACUAAAUACCCCUGUUGGUGUGUGACAACCCAAAUAUUUCAUAUAUAUAAUUUCUACAAUCAAACACUUCAUUUGGAAGUCAAAUUCAUUUCCGCCAUUAAAAUUUGUUUUAGUAUUCUGAGCUUUUCACACUUAACGAUCAAGACUUAGAAAGUAACCACUAAAGCCCUAACACCAAAAAUCAUGCCAUAAACCUCAUAAGAUGGAGUUUUCGGGCGGUAAACUUGGGUGGUAAACUCCAGGCGGUAAACUUCGGGGCAGUAAACUCACCCUAGAUAAGGGUUGAGUGAACCUCAUUUACACUCUUUCCACUCUCUCUCUACCCUCUAUCUUCAAGACCCGAUUUCUCCCAAGAAUCUUCAAGUUUUCAUCCCUAAACUGUAAGUUCUCUAUUAAAGCUUAUUAAAUGUCCAAAUAUCAUUGAAAUCACCCAAAAAUGUCAUGAACAAGGUGUUUACGGCCCACGAACUUCUUAGGCCGUAGACCCUUAAAAAGGGUGCCAAAAUGCCCCUAACUCUUUCCUUGUUCUUAGAGACUAGCUUAGAUCAUACCCUUGAAGUGUUAUGGACCUUAAACAUUAGGUUUUGGAGGGUUGAAUGAGGGUUUAUGGCCCAGGAUCUUCUUAGGCCGUAAACUCCCUCAAAUGGUGCAAAAUGUGCCCUAAUCACCUCACCUAGCCUUGGACAUUAACCUAGAAUUAUACCUCAAUGAGUUAGGGACUUGAAUCAACGAUUUGACACUUCAUGCCAUGAGUUUAUGGCCGUAAACUCAUGGGGAAGUGGUCCCUAGGCCGUAAACUCCACACAAGACCAUUAUUGGACCUUAAACUCACCCAAUCUCUUGUUUAGGCCUUGGAGCACUUAACCACUUAAGUUAUAGUAGUUUUAAGACUUGUUUGGAGACCCAUUUGAGAGUUUACGGCUAGGAGUAAACUCCCCUGGGCCAUAAACUCCAACAAACAUGGUCAUUUGAUCUUACAUUUCCGUAUAAAGCCAUACACUCCUUUAUUGCAACCCAAUAGCCUCCUAGCACUUGACCAAAGUGUUUUCUUCACAUUAGGAUGUUUAUAUGUGUUUAAUUAGUGUUAUAAUCACUAAUUAUAUGUAAACAUAUGUCUUCAUAUGUUACUAGGGUCAUUAAGUGUGUUCAAGUCUUCACUUGACACCGAGCACUCAACCGACACUUCCAUCCGAUCCACUCGCUGUAGGUGAGUUCAUACCCCUAAAUCAACCUUUUAAAUGAUUUUAACUAUUUUUAUGGGGGGGAAUACAAGUUGAACUAUACAGUUAUUGGAUAAAUCACAUGUGAUUAAUAACUGUAUAGCAAAUGGAUUUUUGCAUGUUAAACUGCUUCAUUCAACAAGAGGUUUUCGAAUCUCAUUUUUCAAAUCUUGUUAAAGUAUGAAUUUCUCUUUUAGAUUAUCAAAAGUAUUCCAAAGGUUUUUCAAAGGUUUUCCAAAGGAUUUCAAAAUUUGUUUUAUAAAAUGACAUCAAGUUGUAAAAUUCUUAAUCGUAAAGAUUUUCCAAAGGUUUUACUAAAGUUUUCUUCUAUGCUUUUAUUUCGUUAAAUGCAUGCCUAUAUUUGUAUAGUUAUAUAAAUAAUGUUUAAAGGACUUAGAACGGCUAGUUCGCCCUAUUUCCUUUUCCUCGUUGGGAUGUGGUCUGGUGGGUAUCGGUUAUCCGUCCGACGGUCGUUUAAAUAUUAGUUAUAUAUCAUGUAUACAUGUAUAGACAUAAAGGUUUCCAUCAACUAGUUCAUUUCCCUUGGGUAGCAAGGGAAUCCUUCCAUUCAUCAUUGAUAUACCUGAAACAUUAGUAACUAUUAUAGGAAUAGUUAGGAGAUUCCAUCUCUCUCUCUCUCUAGUACGAAGAUUUACUCAGGAGUCAGUUCAUCUGCGAGUCUAUACUAUUACGAUAAUACUUUAGAAUGUGACACCCUAUUUCCUUUUACGACGCUUCAUCGUGCCAACUCCGUGUAACCAGAGUCUCCUGGAGGGAGAGUAAACUUCAUGCGUAUAGAUCUAUACGGGACUGACACUCCCGCAUCCUGACUAGUAGCUACAGUCCGUGCCGGUAAGGCCCAUAGGUGACAUAAUGCCACUAACUCUACGGGUGACCUGGAGGGUUAUCGGAUACUCUAUCGUCGAUCAGCAUGGUUACAUACGAGUUCACAUUCACCCCUUGUUUUAGACUUUGCUAGCUAUAUCGUUCAUUCGAUACUGUCUGGAGUUUGUAUUUCCUUGUUUUAGACUUUGCUAGCUGUAUCGUUCAUUCGAUAUUGUCUGGAGUCUGUAUUUCCUUAUUUUAGACUUUGCUAGCUGUAUCGUUCAUUCGAUACUAUCUGGAGUCUGUAUUUCCUUGUUUUAGACUUUGCUAGCUGUAUUGUUCAUUCGAUACUGUCUGGAGUUUGUAUUUCCUUGUUUUAGACUUUGCUAGCUGUAUUGUUCAUUCGAUACUGUCUGGAGUUUGUAUUUCCUUGUUUUAGACUUUUCUAGCUGUAUCGUUCAUUCGAUACUGUCUGGAGUUUGUAUUUCCUUGUGUUAGACUGAGCCAGGUGUAUCAUUCAUUCGAUACUCUCCUAGAGUCUAUGUUUUCCUUUGCUUUAGUCAGCAGUAUUACUGCUGAGGAAUAUGUUAUUUUCCCCUAGUAUUUUUACAUGUGAUUUUCUUAUAAUUCCAUUAAAGUCAAAACUAUAUUUUGGUAAUGAUAGUAUGUUGGGGAAAAUUACUCCUUAAAACAUAAAUCUGUCGAGUCUUGGUAGAAGACUGCUUUUAAUUAGAAAAUAUAGGAUUUUCUGGAAAGAACACUAAUACACCGUAGACUCUAAACUACUAUCUGUCAUAAAGUUAUUUCGAAUAAAAAUGUGUAUUUAUACAAAUGACACUAAGUACUUAUGAAUUCACCAGCAUUAUAAAAAUGCUGAUACUCGCUUUCAAAAUAACUUGUAUUCUCAGGUCAUCGAUAGACAAGUACAUCCCGAGAGCUUUUGCGAAGUCAGCCUAGAACCGAGCUGCAUCUAUGUUAUGUUCUGUAUUUACUUUGAUGUUGCUAUAAAAUGUAACCUAUGUAAAAAUUAUUACUAUUAAUGCAAUGGUUGUUGUACUUUGAUUACUAUACUGCAUAUGUUGUGAUACUUGACAUGAUGUCCUCCAUCCCAGAACGUUUCCGCCUUUUUGGUUUUGGGGUGUGACAUGGUGGGUCGGCAUUGUGGCCUUAGACCCACCCAUACAGCAAGGUAACUCACCUCGAUGUCGUGUAGUGUCUGAACCAUCCGCUACGCGAAGAUCGACUCUCCUCGACUCCUCAAUCCCUACACGACAAUUCUCAAGUCAUCAAACAGAACAUGCAACCCUAACAAGGGUCAAUACCUUAACCAUUCAAAGUCAACAUCCAGUUGACCUGACUCGUCGCCAACUCGCCGAGUCCAUACUCCAUUAAUCCGAGUGAUUGCCUUUAUUGAUGACAUUUUGGUCUAUUUGAAGACCAGAGAGUAGCAUGAGGAACAUUUGCAUAAGGUUCUUGGGAUUUUGAGGAUGGAGAGGCUAUACGCCAAGUUCUCUAAGUGUGAGUUCUAGUUAUGCGAUGUUUAGUUUUUAGGACACCGUAUCAAUUAGAACGGUGUGUUGGUUCACCCAGCCAAGAUAGAGGCGGUGAUGCGGUGGGAACUGCCGAAGUCUCAAUCUGAGAUUCGGAGUUUCCUUGAUUUGGUAGGAUAUUAUCGGAGAUUCAUUCGAGAUUUCUCCAAGAUUGCAGUUCCUCUCACUAAGUUGACAAGGAAGGAUAAGGUGUUUAGAUGGGGGCCUGAGUAACAUGCGUCAUUUGAUACUCUUUGGCAGAGGCAUUGCGAGGCACCAGUACUUGCCCUCCCCGAGGGAAUUAUGGACUUUAUGGUUUAUUGUGAUGCAUCCAUUUUGGGAUUGGGUGUUGUGUUGAUACAGAGGGGACAUGUGAUUGCAUACGCUUCAAGGGAGCUGAAGCCUCAUGAGGCGAAGUAUCCCAACCAUGAGUUGGAAUUGGGGGCGGUGGUUUUCGCUCUCAAGAUUUGGCACCACUAUCUUUAUGGAGUUCGGUGUACCAUCUACACGGACCAUAAGAGCCUGAGAUAUCUUAUAGAUCAUCCUAACCUGAACAUGAGGGGGAGGAGAUGGCUUGAUGUAGUAAAUGACUAUGAUUAUGAGAUUUUAUAUCACCCAGGAAAAGCUAAUUUGGUGGUCGACACCUUAAGCUGGAGGACGUUUGGUACCCCGAUUCUGGAUGUGUGUUUGAGGAUGAUUGUGAUGACUCUAGUCUUUGAAAUGAUCAAAGAUGCAUCGUCUGAGGCCAUAAAGGAAGAGAAUCGGAAGACUGAACAUGUGGUCGGUCGGGUUUCAGCCUUUGAUAUCGACAUUAGGGGCUAUUGACUCUUCAUGGAAGAUUUUGGGUACCGUAUCCGAGUGGGGCUCGACGGGUGUUGAUAGAGGAGGGCCAUAAGUCGAGAUUUCCCAUUCAUCUGGGGGCUACCAAGAUGUAUCUUCACCUGAAUUAUAGUUAUUGGUGGCCAUGUAUGAAGAGGGAUGUAGCAUGGUUUGUAGAGUGAUGCUUGACCCACCAAAAGGUCAAGGCCAAGCACCAGCGCCCUCACGACAAGUUGUAGCCUUUGGAGGUUCCACUGUGGAAGUGGGAGCAGAUCACGAUGGAUUUCGUUAUAAAAUUGUCAAAGACUGCAAAGGUUUCUGAUGUUAUCUGGGUGAUAGUUGAUUGCUUAACAAAGAGUGCUCACUUCUUAGCCAUAAGUGAGCACUCUUCUGCCGAGAAUUGGCCAAAAUUUAUGUUCGAGAAGUGGUGGAUCGGUAUGGGGUACCGACUUCUAUUGUGCCGGAUCGGGAUGUUCAUUUUACUUCUAGAUUUUGGAAGAGGCUUCACGAAGAACUAGGCACCCGAUGCAUUUUAGUACCGUCUAUCAUCCGCAGAAUAACAGGCAGAGUGAGCGGACUAUCCAGAUGCUUGAGGAUAUGUUAUGAGCUUGCAUCAUUGAUUUCGUUGGGAGCUGGGGCUCCUACCUCCCUUUGACUAAGUUUUCUUACAACAAAAUCCAUCAUGCCAGCAUUGGCAUGCCUCCCUUUGAUCUUUUAUAUGGGAGGAGGUGUCAGAAUCCUAUUUGAUGGGGCAAGGUAAGGCAGAGAGUCAUAGGGAGCACUGAGAUAGUGCUCAAGACGACCGAGCUUAUUAGCAAAUCAGAUAGAGAUUUUUGAUGGCCCAUAGUUUCCAGAAGACUUAUGCGGAUCAUCGACGCUCUAAGUUGGAGUUUCAGGUUCGAGAUUUGGUGCUCUUGAAGGUAUCACCCUAUAAGGGUGUUAUCCGCUUAUGGCCCUCCUCUAUCAACACCUAGAUGAAUAGGAAAGGUGGCGUACCGGUUGGAGCUACCUGAAGAUUUAAUUUAGAUUCAUGACACCUUCCAUGUUUCCCAAUUAAGGAAAUGUGUAGUUGAUGAGACAGUUGUGAUUCCCUUGAAGGACAUUGUAACGCCCGUAGAUCCGGGCUAGUCAAUUUAGAGAUAAUAGGGGUCGAAAACGACUUUUCGACAAAAGAUUAUUUAGAAUCAAUAAUCUUAAAUAAGUUGUAGAAUAUGUCUCAAGGGUUCUGUACAUAUAAAGAACGCCGAAAUCCAAGUUAUAACGAAGAAGUUAUAGCCCGUCGAAGUUUUACAACAAAACCUGCACGACAUCGGGAGACAUAAAUAGUGAAUUUACGAUAGAGGAAUUUUUUUGCCUUCGUGAUCUAAAAAAAAGUUGUAGUAUACGUUAAAUCGAUAACAUACAACAAAAGAACGCCCAAAUCUAACUUUGUAUGAGGAAGUUUUGAAUUUUCUAAGAUUUGGCAUAGCAGUGCACGACCCGAAACUCGAAUUUUAGUUCGAGCGGUUUUUAGCCUACGCGACCUAAAUGAGAGUUGAAGAUCUCAUUAAUAGGAACUCAACAAUAAAAAGACAGACGAAAACAGAGUCCAUAUGUAGAAGUUGUGAAUUUUACGCGGACAUUUAACAAUAUAAUCUCCUCAUACAGUUAAAUUUAAGAUCGGUCGAGAAUUAGCCGAUGGAGUCUAAAUGAAAGUUGUAGAUCUUGUUUUUAGCUACGCGCGGAAAUGAAGAAUGUAGAAAACGGAGGUCGUAUGCAAAAGUUACGGGGUUUAGAAGUCGGCAGGGUGCUGCUGCAAAAGGGGUGACGUGGCUGAAUAUGGGCCAAGGCUUUCUCCCCAAGAAAAGCCAUCAGGUGAUGACACGUGGCACCGACUCGGCGAUUCUGUGAACCAACUCGACAAAUCCAUCAGGAAUUCAGCCUAUAAAUAGAGGUGUCGGGUUCCAUUCAUUCUCACACCUUUCUUCUUCCAUUUUCUCUCUCUACUUUCUCUCUCUAACCUCUCUAACCCCCCNCCCCCUAAAGUAUAGGUAAACCGCUAGCACCCGAAGGAAGCCCUAAGGCUCCCGAAGCCUAGAGAAAAGAGCUUUUCGGCUCGGAAAUGCUGCUCCAGCGAAGCCCGGUUUUCGAGAAAACCCGCUGUAAGUGAGCUAUGCCUACCCUAUCUUUAAUAUAGCUUAUGUUUCAAUAUAGUAAUGUUAUUAGGACCUUAUAAGGAGUAUUUGCGCUAUUAUUAUGGGUUAUAUAAUUAUUUUUUAACUCUUAUAUAAUAGUAAUAAUAACCAGACUAUUAAUUAGUCUCGACGAAUAUUAGACUAAACUCUAGUGGUAAUGAUACUAGGUUUUGUCCGAGGAAAAUCGUGUUGAGAGUAACGAAGUGUUGUUCGAGUGCCGAGUCACCACCUUCCCAGGUGAGUGCAUAGUUACUUUCAUCUUACACAUAGAUAUGAAGUAUUUAAUAUAAAUUAUAUGCUAUGUGUGCAUAUUGUCUGAAUACUUGUUGUCUAUGUUGGAUGAGCAAUUUUAUACAUGUUUUAAAUGAUUUAAACUAUAUAUGUAUUUUAUAUCUACAAAAUGUGUUGGGUAAAACAUGGGUAGAUUAGAGGUGAGAUAAAUGAUGAGCGAUGGAAGAUGAGAUGAAUGAUGAGCGAUGAUAUAUGAGUGAUAAAAUAUGGUGCACAGCGAUGAUCCAAAACGAUGAGCCCAAGCAAUGAGCCAAAACGAUGAGCCAAACGAUGACCCAAGCGAUGGCACCGUCAUCUAGUAGAGUAUGGAUGACAACCACGGACUAUUCAAGACAGUCCAGUGGAACACUAGCAGGCUCGCAACCUAUAGGCGUUGUGAACGAUGUGUUCACCGGUGUACUCUAAAAACCCAUUGAUAUGUAUUGCGAGUGGAAUCUCGAAAACGAUACUAUCAAUAAACGAGAUAAACCCGGAAGACUAUGGAGUUAGCGCCUGUUGAGAAAACCUUGGUAACUAAGGAUUUAGUACUCAUUGAGUAAACCCUAGCAACGAUGGAUUUCGUACCUAUUCCUUAGGAAUCAAUGAACGAGAAAUAGUUGAUUCUUAGGGUAGAUCCUUAAGAAUAAAGACGAUAAUGGGGAUGGGUAAUUGGGUUAACUGUUUGAUGAUUAAACAUAAUAAUUAUAUUAUUGUGGGUUGAAACCCCUAUGUACUCACCAGGUUUCCCAACCUGACCCACUCAGUUUAUUUAUAUCACAGGUGUCGAUAUGAAGUCACAUUACACUGAGAGAUUAAGGAGAUGUAAAUCACUAGUGAUAAUCACUAGUGAUAAUGAAUGUAAGUGUCGUUUUGCGGGUAGGAGUUUUGGUUUGGUUUGGGUUUCGGGUUUUCGUUUUCGUAUCUGUUGUUCCCUGAGGGUUGGUAUGGUUAUAGUUUGGUGUUUGUGCUGUUAUUGGUCAUCUUUCGUGAGGAUUAUUAGUGGAGAUGCGGCAUCGGGUUGAAUGUCGGGUGGCAUCUGCAGUCGUGGAGAGGGUAAUUGGAGAUCGGAUUCUUUUGAGCGGAUUGAUCAGUGAGGAGAUGUGUUUUGCUGAGGGUUGUUUAUGAUUGUGAUAAGCAGUCAGUGUAUAAGUGUUUUCUUUGUGUGGAUUGUUCUGGAAGGUCGUUAAUGGCGACCGGUGGUUGUUGGUCAGUGCUUUAAGUGGGGGAGAAUUGGAAAAUUCUCCGGGAGAUCGAUGAGUAUUUGAGGGUGCUUAGUUGUUGGAAUCCAGCAGUGUUCUGUCAGCCCAGAGUAUAGGCUGAUAGGAGCGAGUGUCAGGCAUGCGGGGCGGGAUACAGACCUAGGGCAUAAUAUUGUGGAGGGCCUGGGAGCCGGCCGGGAUCUAGCAUGUGCGAUGGAUAUAGAGUUUGGAACCCCUAGAGGGCUAGAACGGUAUGCAUGGGAGGAAUCCCGAGGGGGGAUAGCUUGGAAUGUUGGUUGAUAGUUGAGCGGUCCGGAUAGACUGAAGGCCGGAAGGCGUACCAGUCAGACCGAAGGCUCGGAGAAUGGUCCAGCCAAACUGAAGGCACUGAGAGCGGUCCAUAUUGGCGGAAGGUUCUGAGAGAGUGGUCCAGAUGAACUGAAGGCCUGGUGAGGCAGUCCAGUCAUGCUGAAGACUCUGUAGGUAUUGAUGGAUCUGUUGAGGUUAUGGUAUGGGGAAUGUCGCAGUGUCUUGCAUUGGAAGGUCUGGCCCCGGGUUGUGAUCUUGAUGAGUUGAGAUAGUGCAUGGGUUUGAGAGCCCCUGUGAUGAGAGCCAGAGCAUGUGUGUCGGAUCGAUAGUAGGUACGCAAAAAGGGUGGUGUCGCAUUGGGCGAGCACCGUGGCAUGCGUUGGAGUGGCAAUGUGGCCAAGUGGAUUCCUUGGAAAAGGAAGAGAGAAAGGUGUGUAACUCCGAAAGGGAGUGCAAGUUCACGAAAGUGAAAGCUGCAGAGCAGAGUUAUGAUUAGAGUAUUUCGAGUAUGGUUUUGAGCAUCAUGUUCGCGGCAGUGAAGUAGGAGCCCAUCCGGUUUGGGAUGUCUGCUGAGGUUGCGGAAGGAAUUCCGUAGGUGUAGAGCCCAGAGGCUUGGAAAGGAUGCAGGGAGAGAGUCCUGGACUCUCAGUGUGAUUCUGAUCAGGGCAUUGGGUAUGUAUUAGUGAUUCAUCCUGGGGGAUGUUUGAGGGUGUCAUCAGUGUGUCGGGUUUUCCAAACCUGAGGAUGUUGGAGCUAGUUCAGCAUGUGUAUGUGUUUGUAAGAGGAGGACUCAUGGGAGUUGCUCUGAGAUAGAGAAUGGGUCCUUCCGUCGUCACGGAAUGGAUAGAGUGAGAUUCGGACCGGGGAUCCGAUGGCUCAUGGUUUUCUAGCCCUUAUGAGUCGAGUGAUGGCUGUGAGUUGGAGCAGUGUUGCUUUGUGAGUAGUACUCAGUGAUUAAGUGAAGUUAUCAGAGGGUGAAUCCGGUGCCCGAGUUGAGACGGUGGUCAGGACACCGUGAGUAAGGGAAAGUGCGUUCGAGUUUCGUUUAGGUAUGCCUUGAGGACCUGGUCUGGUUGAGGCUAAGUGGCGCGUUGUGGAAGUAUCUUUGGAAUUGAGUUGCUGUAGGCUUCGAGGGCGAAGCCUAAUAUAAGUGGGGGAGAAUUGUAACAUCCCGAAAUAGCAAGAGUAGAGUUGAAGGGCUAAAAGUGUUAUUUGAGGAAGAGUGACUCUGCGAGUCCAUGGAUGGACUCGGCGAGUAGAGUCGCAACUUGGUCGCGUGUUAAAUAGCCGACUCGGCGAGUCGAUGAGAUGGACUCGACGAGUAGGCGCUGAGUGGAGAAAACCCUAAUUCUCGGGGUUGAGCCCUAUUUAAAGAACAUUAUACCCUUCCCCCAGCCUCUUUAUUUCCCUUUGAAGUCCAGAAACCCUAGAAAGUGCGAUUGAAGGAGAUUGGAGUGUGUUUGGAGCAUUAGAGGAGUUUGUUGAAGGAAUUUUGUGAGAUUGAAGGUUUGGGGCAAGGGGCUUUCCUUGGAUUCGACUUACAUUGCAGUUGGGGCGUCCAUUGGAGGUAAUAUCUCGUUCUUGGACUGAUUGUAUGUUGUUUCUUCAUUUUGGGGUUGUGGGAUCUUGUCUAAGGAUGUAAAUGGAAGUCUAGAGGUUAGAUCUGAGGUUGCUACCUCAGAUCUGGAUGGGAGGAGAAUCAAAGAGCAUGAAAGUCCCUGUGUUGGACUGUUUAGUGAAGCUUGCAUGUCCCAAACCCUAGUUAUAAGUGAAUAAGGCCUAGAUCUCUUUGGAUUCACGUAAAGUUUGCCACUUUACGUGAUGGAUGAGUUGUAUGAGGCUAGAUCUAUGUUUUGGAUCAUUUGCAUGGCCUGGAAUGCUUCUGAAUGGAUUCAGAUCGGUGGUACUCGGCGAGUCACAUGGGUGAACUCGACGAGUUGCUUGAAGAUGAGCUGGGACUCGACGAGUUGGAAGAACAACUCGGCGAGUCGGAUGAAGAUAGCCUUGAACUCGGCGAGUUGUAUGAACAACUCGGCGAGUAGGUUGAUGAUAGCCUUAGACUCGGCGAGUCUGUUCUUGGACUCGGCGAGUCUUGUCGAAGAGUUCCGAUAUUUUCUGGUUGAGUCGAGAAUCGGUGAGUCAAGGGAUGACUCGGUGAGUUGUGUGCGAGUGGACUUUGAGUUGUUGGACUCGGCGAGUCUCGGGGUGACUUGGCGAGUUAGGUCGCGGGUUAAGAGAAGUUCUAAGUAUGGGAACUCGGCGAGUCAUAGGGUUGACUCGGCGAGUAGGGUCAGUCAAGGGUUGACUUUGACCUGGUCUUUGUCCAAGGGUUGAUCAGUGGUUUCCAGGGGUAUUUUAGUAAUUGUUGAUUAUUGUUUUGAGUUCAGUGCAUUGGUGGUUGGCUAGUGGUGGAGGUCGUAUCAGUGAUCGGAGUAGCUUGGAUUAUCUGUUCAGUCGGCAGUUUCGAGGUGAGUUAUCCUCACUAUAUCAACGGGGUCUAAGGCACCAAGGCCGGCCCUUAUCGGAUUGAGAUCCGGGUAGUUGUUAUUAUGUUACUGCUUUGACAUGUUUGCAUCCUGUGAGUUAGGAUGGUAUAUGCUAGAGACCUGAUUGAGAUCGGUAUCCUGAGAGAUAGGGAGAUGCUAUGUUAGUGACCUGUUGGGUCGGUAUCCUGGUUAGGAUGGUGGUAUGUUAUGUGAUCUGUUGAUCUGCUUAUUGAUUGUGAAUUGUUAGAUGAUUGUAUGCAUAUGUGCACAUGGAUGUUUGGACUGGAAUUAGGUUGAGGCGGGUCCUGCUAUGUGCAGUAGGCCAAGAUACCCAGGGCGGACCGGUUGUCCCGUAGGCCCAGCGAGCGGCCCGGAUAGGCUGUAGGUCCCGAUAGGGGCGGACCAGACGUGCCGAAGGCUCGGAGAGUGGACUAGAUAGACUGAAGGCCCGGUGCGGGCGGACCAGUCAUACUGUAGACUCAGAGAGUGGACCAGGUAGAUUGAAGGCCCGGGAACGGGCGGACCAAUCACACUGCAGACUCGAUGGAUGUGGAUGGACUCAUAGGGUGGACCAUGUGGACUGUUGGCCGGUGCAGCGGACCAGUCACACAGUAGACCCGGAGAGCUUGGCUGUUCUAUGAUCGGUUAUGUUAUGGCAUGUUAUGCGUGUAUGGUAUUUGUGGUUGGUAUUUUGGGGGUAUCUCACUAAGCUUUCGGGCUUAAAGUGGUGGUUUCAUGUUUUUCAGGUUCUUCAGGAGAUCGUGGCAAGGCGAAGGCGUGAUCGUACCGCUCCUCAUGAUUUCGUGGUGUUAUGAUUCUGGGGAUACGAUAAAUGUUUUGUAUUGCAAACCUUUUUGUAAAGAAUUAUUGGAAUCUAGAUGUUUUUGAAAAAUUUAAAAUUGGUUGUAUUUUUCAGUUGUUACAGUAGUAGAGGCCUAUACUACCGGAAGCACAGGACUCGCACUUGGAUCAGGGAAAGUCACAAGGUUACCAAGAAGCUAGUAAUUGAUACCAUUUUAUUCAAGUAUGUCGUUAUCAUUGUUUCGGUAAUGACUAAGAAGAUUGUUGUUAUUCCGAACCUAGCGGUCAUACCAAAUUGUGUCCGACUACGAGGAGUCUAUUACGUGGUUCCGAGAACCAAGUUCAAUGUAGCACCUGACUUAAGCCUGAAGAAUUAAUCAAAGCAAUCAGUAGACGUAUCACGACGGUUGCUUGUAGCUAGAAAUGCUACCUUUUAAGAUGAGAUUAGAACAUAAAGGAAAUUAUUCUGGAAGACUCUACGAUGAUAGGUCAUUAGAAUAUGACACAUCAUUCCAUUGUAGUAAUAAAAGAACUUAUCUUAUGUUCGAAUCCAGAGAGGAUCAAGAUUGUGACCUGAAGGUCAUAAUUUGGAGUCUAACAUGUGAUAGCGAGCAAGUGCAAGAUCGAGCACCGCCUACAGUCAAGGAGUCCAAGAGUUAGAUACUCAUUCGAAGAAACGAGGAAUUUACGAUUAGUACCUAGGAUGAAGAGAUAACGUAUGGAGUCAUUAUACUGUCAUGUUUUGUUGAUGAUUCUGGUACAUAAUCAUCCUAAUGGGGAGAUAAUUGUAACGCCUGUAGAUCUGGGCUAGUCAAUUUAGAGAUAAUAGGGGUCGAAAACGACUUUAGGACAAAAGAUUAUUUAGAAUAAAUAAUAUUAAAUAAUUUGUAGAAUAUGUCUCAAGGGUUCCAUACAUAUAAAGAAUGCCGAAAUCCAAGUUAUAACGAAAGUUAUGGCCCGUCGAAGUUUUACAGCAAAUAUGGCACGACACCGGGAGACGUAAAUAGUGAAUUUACGAUAGAGGACUUAUUAGCCUUAGUGAUUUAAACAAAAUUUGUAGUAUAAGUUAAACCCAUAACAUACAAAAAAGGUACGCCCAAAUCUGAAUUCGUAUGAGGAAGUUAUGAAUUUUCUAAGAUUUGGCAUAACAAUGCACGACCCGAAACUCAAAUUUUAGUUCGAGCGGUUUUUGGCCUACGCGACCUAAAUGAGAGUUGAAGAUCUCAUUAAUAGGGACUCAACGAUAAAAAGACAGACGAAAAAGGAGUCCGGAUGUAGAAGUUAUGAAUUUUACGCGGACAUUUAACAAUAUAAUCUCCUCCUACAGUUAAAUUUAAGAUCGGUCGAGAAUUAGCCAAUGGAGUCUAAAUGAAAGUUGUAUAUCUUAUUUUUAGCUACGCGUGGAAAAGAAGAACGUAGAAAAUGGAGGUCGUAUGCGAAGGUUACGGGGUUUAGAAGUCGGCAGGGUGCUGCUGCAAAAAGGGUGACGUGGUUGAAUAUGGGUCAAGGCUUUCUCCCCAAGAAAAGCCUUCAGGUGAUGACACAUGGCACCGAAUCGGCGAGUCCAUCAAGAAUUCAGCCUAUAAAUAGAGGUGUCGGGUUCCAUUCAUUCUCACACCUUUCCUCUUCCACUUUCUCUCUCUAACCUCCCUAACCCCCCCNNNNNNNUGCCCCCCCCUCCCCCCCCCCCCCUAAAGUCUAGGUAACCCCCCUAGCCCCCGAAGGAAGCCCUGAGGCUCCCGAAGCCUCAAGAAAAGAGCUUUUCGGCUCGGAAACGCUGCUCCAGCGAAGCCCGGUUUUCGAGAAAACCCGCUGUAAGUGAGCUAUGCCUACCCUAUCUUUAAUAUAGCUUAUGUUUCAAUAUAGUAAUGUUAUUAGGACCUUAUAAGGAGUAUUUGGGCUAUUAUUAUGGAUUAUAUAAUUAUUUUUUAACACUUAUAUAAUAGUAAUAAUAACCAGACUAUUAAUUAGUCUCGGCAAAUAUUAGACUAAACUCUAGUGGUAAUGAUACUAGGUUUUGUCUGAGGAAAAUUGUGUUGAGAGUAACGAAGUGGUGUUCGAGUGCCAAGUCACCACCUUCCCAGGUGAGUGCAUAGUUACUUUCAUCUUACACAUAGAUAUGAAGUAUUUAAUAUAAAUUACAUGCUAUGUGUGCAUAUUGUCUAAAUACUUGUUGUCUAUAAAUUACAUGCUAUGUUACACGUUUUAAAUAAUUUAAACUGUAUAUGUAUUUUAUAACUACAAAAUGUGUUGGGUAAAAAUGGGUAGAUUAGAGGUGAGAUAAAUGAUGAGCGAUGAAAGAUGAGCGAUGAUAUAUGAGUGAUAAAAUAUGGUGCGAAGCGAUGACCUAAGCGGUGAGCCAAAGCGAUGAGCCAAAACGAUGAGCCCAAGCGAUGAGCCAAAGCGAUGAGCCAAAACGAUGAGCCAAAACGAUGAGCCAAACGAUGACCCAAGUGAUGGCCCCAUCAUCUAGCAGAGUAAGGAUGACAACCACGGACUAUUCAAGACAGUCCAGUGGAACACUAGCAGGCUCGCAACCUGUAGGUGUUGUGAACGAUUUGUUCACCGGUGUACUCUAAAAACCCAUUGACAUGUAUUGCGAGUGGAAUCUCGAAAACGAUACUAUCAAUAAACGAGAUAAACCCCGAUGACUAUGGAUUUAGCGCAUGUUGAGAAAACCUCGGUAACUAAGGAUUUAGUGCCCGCUGAGUAAACCCUGGCAACGAUGGAUUUUGUGCCUAUUCCUUAGGAUAAUCCUUAGGAAUGAGUGAACGAGAAAUAGUUGAUUCUUAGAGUAGAUCCUUAAGAAUAAAGAAGAUAAUGGGGAUGGGUAAUUGGGUUAAUUGCUUGAUGAUUAAACAUAAUAAUUAUAUUAUUGUGGGUUGAAAACCCUAUGUACUCACUAGGUUUCCCAGCCUGACCCACUCAGUUUAUUUAUAUCACAAGUGUUGAUAUGAAGUCACAUUACACUGAGAGAUUAAGGAGAUAUAAAUCACUAGUGAUAAUGAAUGUAAGUGUUGUUUAUGCUUAUGUUUCUUUAUUGACGAUCGCAUCCCAAUUGUUUUAAAAUGAGUAAAAAUACUUUCUUCAGAAAUGUUUUGAUAACAUAUUUAUCAUGUUUUACUGGGAACAAAUUCCACAACAUUUUUAUUAAAAGAGGUACUCUGAUUUAUAUAAAGCAUAAACAAAAUCGGUCUUUUCUUUCUGUGAAAAUAGGGAUGUCACAGACAUUCAGGUCGAUGAUCGCAUGAAUUACAUCAAGAGAUCGAUGUCGAUUUUUGAUAGGAAUGUGAAGACCUUGAGGAACAAUAUAGUGAACCUGGUCAAGGUUCAGUGGCAACAUUGGAAGGGCUCAGAGUGGACUUGGGAGCCCGAGGCUGAAAUGCUUAAGCAUUACCCUGAUUUGUUCGUUGAGGCUGACUUUGAUGGCGAAGUCUGAUUCUAGUGGGGGAGAAUUGUAACUCCCGUUGCCAAGUAAUAUCCUUUUUCAGUCCUUGUGUUUUAAAAUUUUGCUUAAAAGGCCCUUAUGCGGGGGCAUACAAAUCUAUACGUCAGGCGUAAGUUAACAUCUUUGGGCAGUUCAAGAGUUGAGUACGACGGGUGUACAUACGUGUACAUCGGGCGUACUCGUGUGUUCACCAAAACCCUAAUCUUUUGGGUUGUGGACACUAUUUUAGCAUCAUAACCCUCACAGACCUUCUUAUGAACAACCUCCAUAUCCUCCAAACCCUAAAAUCGAACCCUAUCUUGUGUAUGAGAGAUUCGAAGCUUGAAAAGUGAUUCUUGAGUGUUUUGUGUUAUAAGGAAGAUCAUUCAAGAGGUGGUGGUGAAUUUUAUCUUGUAGAUCCAGAAUCUUCAUCUUCUUGUGCACCUUUUCAAGGUAUAAAGUUCAAACCUUGGUACUUAUGUUGUUAGAUCUUGUUUUGCAUGGUUUUAUGUUUCUUUAGUCCCAAGACUUGGAUCUUUGUGAGUAUGGAGUACUCCAGGGCUAUUGAGCUAUCCUUUCAGAGGUCUUAGAGUGUUUUGAUUCAUAAAAAUGCUAGCUUAACCUUCUUCUUUCUCUCAUGUAAGUGUUUUGGAGAUUUUGGUGAUGUUAAAGUUAGGGUUUCUAAGGUUAAGCUCUCUUUAGCCAUGCAAAGGCUUUAAGUCAGGGACUUUAUGGAUUAGGACGUUCUUUAAGGGCCAGAUAUGAGUUUGCAAUGAAUGUCUUAAUGAUUAAGACGUUAAUAAGGAAGUGUUGAGAUUUACUUACGUACGCCUAGCUACGCCCAGCGUAAGCAAAUUCGAGCAUGUCCCUCUCGUAUUGCAUUCUACGCCCCAUGUAGAGUGAGUACGUCGGGCGUACUAUUCAUGGUUUGACCGUUGACUUUUGUUGACUUUGACCACUUGUGUCUUAGGUGGAUUGUGAGAGAUUUUUUAGGGGCAAAACGGUCUUUUACUCUAAGUGUGGACUAGACUUGUCUUGGGCUUAGUAGUGUGUGUGGGAAAUACCUUAAUUAUUAAUUAAGGUUAAUUGGUGUAUUUAAUUAGGCAGCGUCUAGUUUCGACAGUUUAGGUGUGAGUUCUAUCAGUCAUCAGUAUCACGUGAGUCUCCUCACUUAUUCUUAUCUUUCUCAUAGAAUAGUUAUAUAUAUAUAUAUANUAUAUAUAUAUAUAUAUAUAUAUGAUGACCAGUUGGGUCUGAGUGCUAUUACUAUGUUUAUGUUGCUUUAUAUGUGCUGACACUUCAGGUAGUCUCCAUGGUUGCUGAUAACCCACAGGGUGUGCUAUUUUCCCACUGAGACUUUGGGUAGUCUCUAGGGUUGCUGAUAAACCAUAGUUGUUAUAUGUAUUGUGAUGUUUGUGAUAUUUUGGGGAACUCACUAAGCUUUGUGCUUACAUUUGUUGAUUAAAUGUGUUUUCAGAUACUUCUGAGGAUCACGGGAAAGCGAAGGCUUGAUUGUACACAUUCGCCUAAAGAUUAUGCUACUGGAUAAUUUGGGACACUCUGAUAUUUUGAUGUGGAUUUGUAUUUGACAUUAUGGUUUUUCUUGAGAUGGUUUUUAUAUGAAAUUAAAAUGAAAAAUUUGGUUUGAAAAUUUGGAUCUUACAAUUAUAGAUCAUAAAAUUUGCAUCACUAAUCUUAUUAAAUAUAUGAUUUUACCUCAUAAAGUUUUAGGAUCUAACAAUAUAUGAUCCAACUUUAUAGUAAAAGAGUAACAAAGUACCAAAAAAUACAAAAUAAAAUUCUACAACACAAUGCAUAUUAAACACAAUCCAGAAAAUUCUAUCAUAUACCCAAAUCUACUAUUUUUACUAUCCAAGUCAUACAAUUACUAAAAACUAACAAUGUAUAUGAACCAACUUCCUAACAACCAAACAAACAUAUCCGUGUAACAUUGUUUCUUAACUACAUUACCAAACAACAAUGAAAAUCCUACAAUUAAUAACAAAAAAUACAUAUCCAAGUAACAAUGUUACUUAACCAUAACACAACAACAAUGAGUAUCUGAAACAAUAUUACUAUUACUUCAAAAUUAUGGAAAUGACCUUUAAUAUAAGUUUUUUUUUCUUCUUACAAGUUGUCAACAAAUCAAAAUCAUCCAGAGUUGAAAGUAGUAUACUACAAUAAACAGAUAAAUGAAAGUAAAGUUUUGUUUUGACACUUUACCCUUUUUAGUGGCCCUAAAAUUUGUAUGAAAGGCAGUUUAGAUAAUGAAAAUUAAGAUGCAAUGACUUUUCAAUGUUAUUAAAAGUCUUAGUUAUUCCUAUCCCAAUAAUAUAGCAGCUAGUAGUAACCUCACCGACAAUUUUUAUGUUAUGAUGUUCUCAUAAGAUAUAAUCAUANNNNNNNNNNNNNNNNNNNNNNNNNNNNNNNNNNNNNNNNNNNNNNNNNNNNNNNNNNNNNNNNNNNNNNNNNNNNNNNNNNNNNNNNNNNNNNNNNNNNNNNNNNNNNNNNNNNNNNNNNNNNNNNNNNNNNNNNNNNNNNNNNNNNNNNNNNNNNNNNNNNNNNNNNNNNNNNNNNNNNNNNNNNNNNNNNNNNNNNNNNNNNNNNNNNNNNNNNNNNNNNNNNNNNNNNNNNNNNNNNNNNNNNNNNNNNNNNNNNNNNNNNNNNNNNNNNNNNNNNNNNNNNNNNNNNNNNNNNNNNNNNNNNNNNNNNNNNNNNNNNNNNNNNNNNNNNNNNNNNNNNNNNNNNNNNNNNNNNNNNNNNNNNNNNNNNNNNNNNNNNNNNNNNNNNNNNNNNNNNNNNNNNNNNNNNNNNNNNNNNNNNNNNNNNNNNNNNNNNNNNNNNNNNNNNNNNNNNNNNNNNNNNNNNNNNNNNNNNNNNNNNNNNNNNNNNNNNNNNNNNNNNNNNNNNNNNNNNNNNNNNNNNNNNNNNNNNNNNNNNNNNNNNNNNNNNNNNNNNNNNNNNNNNNNNNNNNNNNNNNNNNNNNNNNNNNNNNNNNNNNNNNNNNNNNNNNNNNNNNNNNNNNNNNNNNNNNNNNNNNNNNNNNNNNNNNNNNNNNNNNNNNNNNNNNNNNNNNNNNNNNNNNNNNNNNNNNNNNNNNNNNNNNNNNNNNNNNNNNNNNNNNNNNNNNNNNNNNNNNNNNNNNNNNNNNNNNNNNNNNNNNNNNNNNNNNNNNNNNNNNNNNNNNNNNNNNNNNNNNNNNNNNNNNNNNNNNNNNNNNNNNNNNNNNNNNNNNNNNNNNNNNNNNNNNNNNNNNNNNNNNNNNNNNNNNNNNNNNNNNNNNNNNNNNNNNNNNNNNNNNNNNNNNNNNNNNNNNNNNNNNNNNNNNNNNNNNNNNNNNNNNNNNNNNNNNNNNNNNNNNNNNNNNNNNNNNNNNNNNNNNNNNNNNNNNNNNNNNNNNNNNNNNNNNNNNNNNNNNNNNNNNNNNNNNNNNNNNNNNNNNNNNNNNNNNNNNNNNNNNNNNNNNNNNNNNNNNNNNNNNNNNNNNNNNNNNNNNNNNNNNNNNNNNNNNNNNNNNNNNNNNNNNNNNNNNNNNNNNNNNNNNNNNNNNNNNNNNNNNNNNNNNNNNNNNNNNNNNNNNNNNNNNNNNNNNNNNNNNNNNNNNNNNNNNNNNNNNNNNNNNNNNNNNNNNNNNNNNNNNNNNNNNNNNNNNNNNNNNNNNNNNNNNNNNNNNNNNNNNNNNNNNNNNNNNNNNNNNNNNNNNNNNNNNNNNNNNNNNNNNNNNNNNNNNNNNNNNNNNNNNNNNNNNNNNNNNNNNNNNNNNNNNNNNNNNNNNNNNNNNNNNNNNNNNNNNNNNNNNNNNNNNNNNNNNNNNNNNNNNNNNNNNNNNNNNNNNNNNNNNNNNNNNNNNNNNNNNNNNNNNNNNNNNNNNNNNNNNNNNNNNNNNNNNNNNNNNNNNNNNNNNNNNNNNNNNNNNNNNNNNNNNNNNNNNNNNNNNNNNNNNNNNNNNNNNNNNNNNNNNNNNNNNNNNNNNNNNNNNNNNNNNNNNNNNNNNNNNNNNNNNNNNNNNNNNNNNNNNNNNNNNNNNNNNNNNNNNNNNNNNNNNNNNNNNNNNNNNNNNNNNNNNNNNNNNNNNNNNNNNNNNNNNNNNNNNNNNNNNNNNNNNNNNNNNNNNNNNNNNNNNNNNNNNNNNNNNNNNNNNNNNNNNNNNNNNNNNNNNNNNNNNNNNNNNNNNNNNNNNNNNNNNNNNNNNNNNNNNNNNNNNNNNNNNNNNNNNNNNNNNNNNNNNNNNNNNNNNNNNNNNNNNNNNNNNNNNNNNNNNNNNNNNNNNNNNNNNNNNNNNNNNNNNNNNNNNNNNNNNNNNNNNNNNNNNNNNNNNNNNNNNNNNNNNNNNNNNNNNNNNNNNNNNNNNNNNNNNNNNNNNNNNNNNNNNNNNNNNNNNNNNNNNNNNNNNNNNNNNNCCCGAAUCCGAAUUGAAAAGAAACAAAGGGAAGGACGUGGAGAGUUCAAGCACACCAAAGAAAUCACCAUUGUCCAACUUGAAGACUGUUUUUGGGAAAAAGAAGAGCAGUAAAUCAGGAGCUUCUAGCGCUUCCUUGACAAUUGAGGAGCCAAUUCAAGAAGAUAUUGGAUACGAGACCGAGGAAGAAGAGGAGGCAACGUACGAACAAGAAACCGAAUCGGAGGAAGAGUUAGCAUUCACUAUGGCUAACAUUGAUGAAAUUCCCAUGGGGGAAUGGAAGAAGAGGAUGCGCGACGACCAUGGCCCGGGACUUGUGCAACCCGCAAUUCCCGCAACUGCUACCUUCGAACUAAAAGGUCAUAUCCUAGCUGCGCUUAAGGAAAUACCUUUCUAUGGGAAAGAUCAUGAAGAUGCCUACAAACAUUUGGAUGAAGUAAAUGAUGUUGCUGAUUAUUUCAACAUUCCAAAUGUAACCCGCGAAACUCAACUACUUCGGAUGCUUCCGGUAACCUUCAAGGGUGCUGCUAAAGACUGGCUCAAAUCACUUCCCCCCGGGUCAGUCACUACUUGGGCCAAAAUGAAGGAAGAAUUUAUAGAUCACUUUUGCCCACCAUCCAAAAUAGCCAAACUCAAGAAGGCCAUUGCAAACUUUGAACAGCAAGCUGGAGAAUCUUUAUAUGAAGCAUGGGAGAGGUACAAAAGUCUGCUACGAAAUUGCCCACACCAUGAUCUAAACAGCCAGCAAGAAGUUUCCAUCUUUUAUGAUGGAGUCAAUGUCACAACCCGGCAGUUGCUAGACUCACAAGGCCCACUUACAAAGAAGCCACCCCCGGUGAUUAAAGAAUUAAUUGAAGAAUUCUCUAAACACUCUAGAGAAUACCACAACCCUAGGAAUGAUGUCACGAGGGGAGCCGCGUACGCUGCUACUGAAGAUUUAUCCGCGGUCAUGGCCAUGUUAAAAACCAUGGAUAGGAGAAUGGACAAAAUGGAUCAAACUAUCCAUGCCAUACGGGUGGGUUGUGAAAACUGCAAUGGACCUCACCUCACUAGAGAUUGCGAUUUGGAUGAGAACGGCAACAAAAAGGCACAAGUAUGUUAUUCGAGUGGUGACCGGUAUGAUGAGGACUGGCGCAAACAAAAGAAGGAGUGGUUGCCUUACGAAGAGUAUAAGAAGGCCAAGGAGGAGAAGUACAGACAAAAAGGAAGAGGCUUUUACCAAAAGGAGGAGCCGGUGCAAGAGAGGAAGCCAAGCUUGGAAGAUAUGCUAACUAAAUUUGUGGCCGCUUCCGAGAAAAGACAUAGUGACCAUGAUGCUGCUAUCCAAGAAACAAGAACAAUGCUCAGGAACCAGCAAGCAUCCAUCCACAACAUAGAAACGCAGCUUGGGCAACUUGCUCAACAACUAAACCAAAGGUCACCGGGUGAGCUUCCUAGCAAAACCGAGAACAACCCACGAGGCGCGCAAGUAAAUAUUGUUACCACAAGAAGUGGGAAGAUUAUUACUCCCCUGGCCCCCAUUCGAACAGAAGCGAACAAGGACUCACAGAAGGAAGGAACGGAAGUACAAGUCGAAAAUCAACACUCACAAUCUGAGAGUCCUACUCGCCGAGUAGGACCGAUGGACUCGGCGAGUACCUCUGCUAAAACAAGUGAUCAGCCACCCUUGAAACCAUACCAGCCUCCAAUGUCGUACCCAGCCCGAGCCAAGAAGGAGAAGCAGGAAGAGGAAUAUCAGAAGUUUCUUGAUCAUAUUAAAACUCUUCAAAUAAACAUUCCUUUCAUUGAAGCCGUCAUGCAAAUGCCCAAGUAUGCAAAGUUCCUUAAGGAACUCCUCACUAACAGAAGAAAGAUGGAGGAAGUGCAGAAGGUAGUGCUUAAUGAGAAUUGCUCCGCCGCAAUGCUAAACAAAUUACCAAAGAAGAAGGGUGAUCCGGGGAGCUUAACUUUGCCUUGCCAAUUUGGCAACUUGGCUGCAAUUCAUGCCUUAGCUGAUUCUGGAGCAAGUGUGAACCUUAUGCCAUACUCGUUCUUUAAAAAGCUGGACCUCCCGGAGCCAAGGCCAAUUCGAAUGGCAAUUCAUUUGGCAAACAAGACGGUUACUUUUCCAAGAGGCAUUUGUGAAGAUUUGCUAGUAAAAGUAGACAAAUUUGUCUUCCCGGCUGAUUUCAUCAUUCUCGACAUGGAGGCGGACCCGCAAGUGCCAAUCAUCCUUGGAAGGCCCUUCCUCAACACCGCUAGCGCUAUCGUAGACAUGAGAGAUUCUAAGCUCACAUUGCGAGUUGGGGACGAUUCAGUGACAUUCGGGGUAGACCAAGCCAUGAAGUACUCAAGGAGUAGUGACGACACGGCUUUCUCAAUCGACAUGCUUGACGAAAUAUUGGAAGAAGACAUACCUAAAGAUUCCGGCAAAUUUGCAGCUUUGGAUGAAGAAUUUGAUCCAGAAAAGGACUUACUAGAGAUUGAAAGACUGUUGGAAGAAGCAGAGUAUGAAGAAAUAAAGAAGCAAGCUGAAAGAACUACUCGCCGAGUAGACCCGAUCUACUCGCCGAGUACAUCCGAAGAAAAGCCAGAAGUCGUGAAUACAGCCACCAACUCGCCGAGUACCAAACCUGCACUCGGCGAGUCCGUCACUAUGCAAAACAAAUUGGAGCUCAAAACACUACCUGAUCAUCUGGAGUAUGCCUUUCUGGAAGAAGGAAAUCAGAAGCCUGUGAUCAUAGCCUCGGACCUAUCCAAAACAGAAAAAGAGGAGCUUGUACGCGUGUUGAAGAAAAGGAAAAGAGCCAUCGCAUGGAGCAUCUCCGACAUCAAAGGAAUAAGUCCAUCCUACUGCUCUCACAAAAUCAAUUUAGAAGAAGGAGCAAGGCCGGUGGUGCAACAUCAAAGACGAUUAAACCCGAACAUGCAAGAAGUCGUCAAGAAGGAGGUGGUCAAGCUUUUGGAUGCAGGAAUCAUCUACUCCAUCUCCGAUAGUCCAUGGGUGAGUCCGGUCCAAGUGGUGCCCAAGAAAGGAGGAAUGACGGUCAUUACCAACGAAAAGAACGAGUUAAUUCCAACGCGAACGGUAACCGGUUGGCGAGUGUGCAUCGAUUAUCGAAAGCUAAACGAUGCCACUCGCAAAGACCAUUUCCCCCUUCCUUUCAUAGAUCAAAUGUUAGAGAGACUAUCGGGCCAUAGCUACUAUUGCUUUUUAGAUGGGUUUUCAGGGUAUUUUCAAAUACCCAUAGACCCAAUGGACCAAGAAAAGACCACCUUUACAUGCCCCAGUGGAACUUUCGCCUAUAGACGCAUGCCAUUUGGACUAUGCAAUGCACCUGCGACAUUUCAAAGGUGCAUGACCGCCAUAUUCCAUGAUAUGGUGGAAAAAUUCAUGGAGGUCUUUAUGGAUGACUUUUCUGUAUUCGGAUCUUCUUUCAAUAAUUGCCUAACAAAUCUUGACUCAAUGCUUGCUAGAUGUGAGAAAACCGACUUGGUCCUAAAUUGGGAAAAGUGUCACUUCAUGGUCAAAGAGGGUAUAGUUUUGGGACAUAAAGUCUCUAAAAAGGGAAUAGAGGUGGAUCGGGCAAAGAUAGACACCAUUGCAAAAUUACCCCCACCAACUAAUGUGAAGGGCAUUAGAAGUUUUUUGGGACACGCAGGUUUUUACCGGCGUUUUAUAAAAGAUUUUUCCAAAAUCACGAAACCUCUAACACAAUUAUUACUAAAAGAUGCACCCUUUAAUUUUACUAAAGAGUGUUUAGAGGCAUUUGACUUUCUAAAGGAAAAAUUAACUAAUGCCCCGAUCAUUAUAGCACCAAAUUGGAACUUACCCUUCGAGAUCAUGUGUGAUGCUAGUGACUAUGCACUAGGAGCGGUCCUUGGACAAAGGGUUGAUAAGCACUUUCAACCCAUCUAUUAUGCAAGCAAGACCUUAAAUCCCGCCCAAGAGAAUUAUACUACUACUGAAAAAGAACUGUUAGCCGUGGUUUACGCUUUUGACAAGUUUCGCCCUUACUUAGUUUUAUCUAAAACCACUGUUUUUACUGACCACUCGGCUAUCAAGUAUUUGUUUUCCAAACAGGAUGCCAAGCCAAGACUAAUACGAUGGGUGCUGCUUCUUCAAGAAUUCGAUAUAGAGAUACGAGACAAGAAAGGAAUGGAGAACGUAGCGGCCGAUCAUUUAUCUAGGCUCGAGAACCCGACAUUGCAAGAAGAUAAGGAUGGAGACGACUUUCCGGAUGAAUACAUUAUGGUGUCCGUGGGAGAGGAGCCAUGGUUCGCAGACAUAGCUAACUAUUUAGCUACCAAUUACAUCCCGAAGGAUUAUAGUAGUCAGCAAAAGAAGAAAUUCUUUGCGGAGAUCAAAUAUUACUUUUGGGACGAUCCAUACCUCUUUCGAAGCUGUGCGGAUGGAAUUAUACGAAGAUGUGUGUUCGGAAAGGAGAGUCGACGAAUACUAGAACAUUGCCAUAGCGGGCCCACGGGAGGACAUCAUGGAGCACACUAUACCGCGAAGAAGAUCUUUGACAUUGGGUUCUAUUGGCCCACGAUCUUCAAAGAUGCAGCCCAAUAUGUCAAAGAAUGCGAUGCUUGUCAAAGGGUGGGAAACAUUUCAUCCCGUAAUGAAAUGCCACAACAUAGCAUUCAAGUGUGUGAGGUGUUCGACGUGUGGGGCAUUGACUUCAUGGGACCAUUUCCCACAUCCAAAGGAAACAAGUACAUCCUAGUAGCGGUAGAUUAUGUUUCGAAAUGGGCGGAGGCGCAGGCUUUACCUACAAAUGACGGACGGGUAGUGGUACGAUUCUUAAAAAAACUAUUCUCCCGGUUUGGUGUUCCGAAGGCCCUAAUUAGUGACCGUGGCACACACUUUGCCAAUGAUCAAUUGGACAAGGUGCUCAAGAAAUAUGGGGUGACCCAUAAGUUCUCCACAUCCUACCACCCACAAACGAGUGGACAAACGGAAGUGACCAAUCGAGCUUUGAAGCGUAUCUUAGAGAAGUCGGUGGGAAGCAACCGCAAGGAAUGGUCGGAUAAAUUGGAUGGCGUGCUAUGGGCAUUUCGUACCGCUUUCAAAACACCUAUUGGUACUACACCAUAUAGGUUAGUUUAUGGAAAGCAAUGCCAUUUACCGGUUGAAAUCGAGCACAAGGCAUAUUGGGCGCUAAAGAGGUGCAACUUUGACAUGGAAGAAUUGAAGACCAACCGUCUAAUGCAAAUGAAUGCCCUUGAAGAACUCCGAAAUGAGGCUUAUUCUAGUUCGUGGCUCUAUAAAGAAAAAACCAAGAGAUGGCAUGACCAACGAAUCAAAAGCAAAGACAUCCAUGAAGGCCAAAAAGUACUACUCUUCAAUUCCCGAUUAAAACUUUUCUCGGGCAAACUCAAAUCAAGGUGGGAUGGUCCCUUUUUGGUCAAGACGGUGUUUCCUCACGGGGCUAUAGAAUUGAUCUCAAAAGAUGGCACACCAUUUAAAGUCAAUGGCCAUAGAGUGAAGAAAUAUGAAGAAGGAGUCCCCCGAAAUGAAGGAUUGGAGGAGCUGCUGCUGUGCGGAAUCGCAAACACGUAGAAGGGGCGGAGUCUAGCUAAUGACUCCAUCAAAAGAAGCGCUUCUCGGGAGGCAACCCGAGUUUCACGUUUGCAUUUUCUUUCCUUCUCUUUAUUUUUCAUAUUGUUUUGUUCAUUCUUCUUAAUUUAUUCUACUUCUCUAAGUGCUUGUGGACAAGCUCUACUGGAAGUGUGGGGUGGAAAGGCUAAACAAAGGAAUUAAUAUAGUAAAAUUGGCAAAUUUACAAAAAAAAAAAUUCAACCUGAGACAUAUACUCGGCGAGUAUAUCGAUUAUACUCGGCGAGUAAAUGUUCGCUUACAGCCAAAUGUCCAUAACACGCGUAUCUACUCGGCGAGUAGAUCCAUUCUACUCGGCGAGUAGCCGGUUUAAACUCAGUAAAUUAAAACCUGUAAAAAUUACUAUUAUUCAACAUUUCAUCUCCACACUCGCCGAGCAUCUUCCCUCAGCCACCUCUCAAGGGUUCUUCAAGAUCUAUUCAAUUUUCUUCCUCUUUCUCUUCAUUCAAGCAACAAGGUGACAUCUUUACCCUUUAACUUUAUGAAAGGUCCAAUCUUUAUCACAUAUCUCCCCAUAUUUGGUAUGAUUCCGGAUUUGGGGAGUUUUUCCCAAUUUUUAGGGCUUUGAUUUACUCAUGAAUUAGAGCUUGUUUGGAGUAAUUUCUUCAAGAACUAUGGUUAGAUAAGUAAUUACAACAAAACCCUAUGAACAAAUUGGACUAUUACACAGAUUACACAGAUCCGAUCUCAAUCUGUCACAAAGUUCAUACUACUCGGCGAGUAUGUUCGUGUACUCGGCGAGUAGGACCCAAUCAGAUCAAAAUUUUUUCCUGUUUUAACUAUGGGGUGUUGUUUGUUGCUGUUUUUUUGGUAUGAUUAUGCAGAUANAUGGCAAGGAGAGGACAAUCAUCAAGAGGAGGAGGCCAUGGUGAUAUGCCAUGGUUAGCCUUUCAACAAAUUACCUCUAAAUCCUCCAAAACUCGAGCCCUAAACAGGUUGGAAGCGCUGCGACAGAAAGAAAUUCACUUGCCCACUGCAGUGGAUUGGGGAUGGAUGGGUAAUGUCGGCUUGGAAGAGGAACUUACUCCAUAUUUGGUGAAAGAUUGUAACUUGGGUUAUGCCAACAUCACUUGUGAUGGUUGGUUGCAAUUGUUUAAAAUACAAGAGCCAGUAUACGCGGAGUUGUGCUGGGAAUUCUUUGCUACCAUUUCAUUCCGAGGUGGUAGUGAAUAUUACAAUCCAAACACGAUCUCGUUUUCUUUGGGAGGAGAGCUGCGACAAUGCAGCAUGGUUGAGUUCUCUUGGCGGUUGGGCAUCUACGAUCAAGAUAUGUCGAUGACGGACUACUUUGAAGCCUUCUUGGAAAAUACCUACAAAGAACUUCCCGAGGGGGUGGUGGCGUCAACAUGGUGGAGUACAAUUGCUAACCGGGUCUAUAUACCUUCCACUGCUCAAGAAGGGCAUAUUCGUUCUCCAAUCCAUCGACUCAUUCACCGAUUCAUUGCAAGCACGAUCAACAUGCGAAAGGAUGGGGAUAAAGUUCCCACCCUUGAUAUCUUUUAUAUGUGGAGUAUCAUCACCCCCGAUGUCUUCUGCAACCUCCCAUAUUGCAUUGCUAAAUUUCUUGCGGAGGGAGCGGUUAAGGAAAAAAUCAACUCGAAGAUCAAUGGGGGUAUGUUCAUUACUCGGCUUGCGCGAUCAUUUGGAAUCUUGGAAUUACCGCAAGCUCAAAUGCUGACGAUUAUCCACCCUCCUCCGUUCAACACUGCACUUUAUAGGAGGGCUCGGAUAGUGGAAAAUUUUGGUGAUUCUUUUACUAUUCCGAAUGAGGACGAGCCGGCGGUCCCCGAGGAGCCGGGAAGGCGGGUUAGGCCGAGAAACGAGCGGGUACGAGAAGACCCACCGGUGAUUCCGGUGGAGGAUAACGAGGGAUGGAAUCAAGUGGAGUAUCGACGAUACUUGGAUGAUAUAGGGCGAGGGGUUAAUUACACCAAUCAAUCCUUCGACUAUCUUUUCCAACAAAUGCAUAUUGCCCCGCGACCGGGACCCGGCUAUCCUUACAUCAUGAAUUGGGACGAAAGGAUGCAAAGAAGGGGUGGAGAAGGAGGUAGUGGAGCUGGAGGAGCAGGGAUGGACGAGGAAGAAUGAAGAUUUUAUUUGUUUUUGUUUUGUUUGAUUAUGAUGUUUGUUUUAAGACAAUUGUGGAUAUGUUGAACUUGGCUAUGUGGUUUGAAUAUUAGUGUUACUUUUAGUUUUCUUUUCAGGUAUUGAAGCUAGGAAGCAUGCUAUUUAGGAAUGGUCAAGAGAGGAAUGAGAGUCUUUAUGAGUGCUUGUGGAGUCUUGUUCCUAGGAUCGAGUCCGUACGAAUCGAGAGUUUAUUAAAGUGUUGCUGUUUAGGAAGUUUACUGGAGAGUGCAUUUAUAUCAACACUAGAGUAAAGAGAGACAGCGGUUAAAAAUUCUGGAAAUACACGCUAUACUCGCCGAGUGCACUAAUACUACUCGGCGAGUACAUCUGCUUCUACCCGAAAUACGUUGCCAGUCAACUUCUACUCGCCGAGUUUAAUCGCCUACUCGCCGAGUAGCCUGCUACGAGAGGAAUUUCUGAUUUGUUCUGGCUAGUUUUUCUACGCCAUUCAUACAUUCCUUAUGAGUUACUACUGAAGAUUGUGCAACAACCUUUUUUCCUUGGAGUUUUCGAGCUAUCAACCACACGAGACGUAUGACACCCGUGCCAUGGAUGANAAAUCCUUUGAAUCCUUGGCAAGAAAAAAAAUUGCAUAAAAAAAAUUGCUAGGCUUAAUUUAUAAAAUUUUGGUAAAGCAAUUAGGAUUCCAUGCUAGUAUUGUGUUUGAUGAUUCUAUGAGGACCUAAAUGUUUAGUUGAGCCAACAUACGCUAUAGUGCAUUUGUGGCCCCCUUUAUUCUAGUGAAAUCAUGGGACAAAAAAACACAACCUCGCUUAGUUUAAGGAUACAAUAUGUUUAGCAUCGUGUACUUGAAAUGUAUCCAGGAAAGCUUAAGUAGUCAUUGCACACUAGACUAAUGCCUUUAACUAAUAAAGGAUGAAGUUAAAUUCCCUUGCUUCAGCAUAUGUUUUUCUAGGUUUUUAGUUUGGAGUGGAAAAAGUGUGUUGAAAAAAAAAGAAAAAAAAAUAGUAUGAAAUGUUUGAAUAAUGAAUCUACAAAGCUAUGCACACAAAGAAGAAAUACAUUGAAGAAAAUCUACAAAGUAAAAAAGACUAAAUCAAAAGUAGCAUUUAUUUUUAUUGUAAUUUUCUUUUCUAGGUUAUUUUACCAUAUGUAUUCUUGGGGAUUUAACCAAAAAUGACUUGAGGUUAAGAAAGCUUUCUGGGGAUGGAUUCGGAGGGAUUCAAAAAAUGAGCGUUGUUCGAAAGAAGUGGGCGAGUGUUUAUGAGUAUUGUAAGUAUUUAGAAUUGAGGGUGGUUCUUAGGAAAAUUUUAGACACAAAUACAUGUGUUGCGGUCUUGGCAUAUUGGUUGGGUUCGAUUGGGAUUGUCUUAUGCGCUAAAAUUUGGUUUUGCUUGGGGGCAAGAAAAAGUCAAGUGUGGGGUAUUUUGAUAUGGGCUUAUUUAGUUAUAAAAAUCAUUCAUUAUCGUAUUAAUUAUUGUUGAUUUUGUAUUAUUUUAUGGACAAAAGGUACUUAAUUAGCUUAAUAUUUCAAUUUCAACAAUAAAAGACAUGCUCGGGUGAAAAAGGAAGAGGACUAAGUGAUUGGAAGUGUGGAGAUUGAAGAUUAAGGAAAGAAGGCUGAAAUAGGAAGGAACUCAAUGAGUUGACCCUCAAUUCGACGAGUUGGAUAGAAUAUUCCCGAUUCGAAGUUGCCUUGCCGUACACGUCGUACACCCGCAUUAUUGAAAAAACUCGUCGAGUUAUUCUUAAAAAUUUGACGAGUUGGGUCGAUUUUUGGUAACUAUAAAUAGAUAAAAUCUAUGCCCGAAAACCUAACUUUUUCUAGAGGCUAGCUGCGACUACUGAAGAUCAGAAGACUUCUUGGAGCUUCUGUUUUCGAGAUUUCAACACAAGAAAGAAUUUAGAAGAGAAUCAAAGGAAAAUAAUCAUGCUUCUUUUCUUAAUCUUUGUUUUGAAACUAUGUUUGAAUCAUUAGGUUUUGAAUUUAGAUUAUUACUUGUUGUAGAUAUGAGCUAAAAGCUUUUUACUUCUGUUUGGAUGAGAUAAUCUUAUGAACAUGGUUUUAUUGAGUGGUUGAAUUGAUAUUGAUUUGGUUAUUUAUCUUGUUAAGCUUAUUAAAGACCCUUAUGUAUUGAUAAUAAAUGUUUUCUGUUAAUAAGUAACUGAUUGAGUUGUAUGAAUAUGUUCUUAAUUACUUGAUUCAUAUAGUUUUAUGAAUAUAAGAUUGUAUGCCUAGGAAUAGUGAAUAUGAAACUAGGGUUAACUAGAAAAUGUGUAAAUCAAUGUGUGAGAAUAUGUGAUGAACAACCAUACCUGAGUUGAUUGAAUUGAACAAAUUUGAUUAACUAUUGUUAUAAGUCGUGCUUGAUACGAACUGAACAUUAGGAAACUUGUUAAUUUAAUCACUUGAUCACUGUUUGAAUUAACUUGUCUACUAAGGGAUUGGUAAUAAUGAACAAGAACCCAAUCACAUUAGCAAUCGGUAACCAUUGACAUAUUAAUUCAUUGCACUUGCCACGAAAUCAACCAUAGGAAUAAGUGAAUCAAUUCUAAACAAAAGUCUCUUUUAUCAUUGAAUCUAGUUGUCUUUUCUUGUUCUUUUUUCUUGUUAUUUGUCUUUGUUUGAGUGUUAAAGUAUUUGCUUAAGUUUCUAGUCUUGCAAAACCAGAGAAACCACCUUGUUUUAUUAAUUGUUUGAUUUAGAUAAUAUUAGUAUUAAUUUUAGCUGUUACCGUUCCAUGUGUUCGAUACCCUACUUGCUUGAACGAAACUGCUAUCGAUAGGUACACUGCCUGCGUGUGUUUGUCUAAAUUUGAGUUUGUUAGGAUUAAAACUAGUUUUUUUUACACACAUAUAUAUAUAUAUAUAUAUAUAUAUAUAUAUAUAUAUAUAUAUAUAUAAACAAAUGAAAAAAGUAAUAAAAUAUUUAAAAAUUCAAAUUUUCCAAGAUGCUUCUUUGAGACAUUAGAUCAAACAUGUUGUGAAGAUCAUUGUAUUAAGUUUCACUUCGAUACUUUUAUCUAACUUCUUAAUCCAUAAAUCUUUUCAAACUAAAAAAAAAAGUAAAAUAACUAAUCUCAAUAUUCAAUUUCAUUUAUAUUAAAGCUCAAAUUGACAGGGAGAUGAAAACUAGGGUUUCAAAAUCACAAAUCGUAACUAUACUUAGGGUUUAUCAUAACAAAUCACAUAUCAUUUACAUAUUAUAUUCAAUAUACAUGUAUAAACUUUUCUAACAACAACAAUGCAAAUUAAAAAAGAAUGCUUACCUGCUUCAAUAACUUCAAAUCGAACAAAAACAAGGAUAGAACACGAACAUUCAAAAACGAUUAUGAGAUCAGACGAGGGAUUACAUGAAGGAUUUUGAGUUAACAAAGAUGUUCUUGAGGAAAUAAGAUGAAAAAAAAGCCGCGCUUCACAGUUCAUCUAGGGCUUUAGAAACGAAAAUUGACUAUUAUAUCAUUGGAUACUUUGCCCUUUUAGAGGAAAAGAAGGAAAGUCGCGCCACAUCCUCUAUUAAUUAAAAAAAGAAAAAUGUGAAAUUAUC